AAAAAUGGAAAAAUCUUCCCAUUUUCUCGUCCUUGCACUACUCUUACCAAUCCAUUAUUUGAUGGAUUAUAGCUCAGCCAAAAACGAUAUCAACACCGAUCGUUCUUCCCUUCUCGCCUUGAAAUCUCAAAUCACUUCAGAUCCUCAAAAUAUAUUGACACAAAAUUGGAGCACUCAAGCCAGUGUUUGUGGUUGGAUUGGAGUUACUUGUGAUUCACGUUACAAUAGGGUUACUCAGCUGAAUAUAUCGUCCAUGGGUCUUGUCGGAACCCUCUCACCAGAAAUCGGGAAUCUUUCUUCUCUCGUUUCUCUACACGCGAACGAGAACUACUUUCAUGGCUCCAUUCCCCCAUCUAUCUUCAACAUGUCAUUUCUAGAAGUUUUGGAGCUAAGGAAUAAUAGUUUGUCUAGUAGUUUACCUCUUGAUAUUGUUGGGAAAUCAGUUCCCCAUCCAAACUUGGUAGAAGCAAGAAAUAAGAAUAAAAAUAGACACAAUUUAACAACACAAGAAUUUAACGUGGAAACUCCAAAUCCGGAGAAAAACCACGACACACUGAAAAAUUACUAUAUGAUAAAUUUCUACAAUCACACAGUAUUUCUCACCCUCUCGACUCACAACCACUACACUCUUACAAGCCUUUGAAAACCUCUCACCCCUCUAAAACAAAGAGCAAGGAAUUUCAAACUAGAAGUAAUCACAAGACUAAAGGUAGUGAUUGGUGCAAUUGUAUCAAAGACCUUGGAACUCCUUAAAUAGCCUAAGGGUCUCCACCUACUUUGAUAGCAAAACCAAUGUGGGACAAAAAUCCCCACUUUCAUUUUUAACACAAUUCCAACAAUCUCCACCUUGUUAAAAAUGAAAGAAAAAACACCAUUGUCUUCACCGACAAUCAUGAUUCUUAAUCACAAAGAACCAUCAUCCUCAAAAAAGAAUAAACCUAACUCCACCAAAUGAGUAGAACACUUAGAAUAAACCAUUCUAAAGAAUUUUACUUCGGCACAUGUCGAAAAAAACCUUGCUGAAAUUUUGGUGCAACCUUCUAGCUUUUGGCCCUCCUAGAAGUCAUCAGCCAUCGACAUACUUUUCACCACACACCUGCAUCCAUGCCAAAAAACCAUGCACAUGUGGUCCAACUAACAUCGUCACAUCCUCUAUCAUGGCCAUUGGACAUGCCAUAAGGAUAUUCAUGUCCUCAAAGGACAUCAUCAAACACGAUGUUAGCUGCUCGUUCGGAGCUUUCUGCCGAAUCCGCUCCACCUUGACAAGCUCCACCUGGACAGUUUCGCUUCGUAUGGCCGGGUUUUCCGCACCUCCAACAAACAACGCCCUUGGAGUCUUUCUUCCUCCCUCUGCUAAAGGCCACCAUUGCUGAAUUUUCCGAUGAAGGACGUCCUUCACUCAUCAGCCUUCUUUCUUCCAAAAGAAGUUUGCCCGUGACUUCAGCAAAGACCAGAGUUUCCUUCCCAUAAACUAAUAUUGGCUUCAUGUGUUCAUAGGAACGUGGAAGAGACAAGAUGAGUCUCAAUGCCUUAUCCUCAUCUUCAAUUUUCGCUCCAAUACUCUCCAGUUCAGAGAUAAUGCCAUUGAGAAUACUCAAGUGAUCUGAAAUCUUCACACCUUCAUCCAUCCGUAAGGUAUGAAAUUGUUCCUUCAAAUACAACCGAUUCGAGAUGCCUUUUGCUUGGUACAGAGCUUCCAGCUUUUCCCAAAGCUCCUUCGCACUCGAAAUCCCAUGUACAUUUGCAAGUACAUUCUUGGCCAAGCAGAGACGAAUUGUGCUUGCCGCCUUCAGAUCCAGAUCCUCCCAAUCUUCAUCACUCAUACCGGACUUGUUGUUUUGCGUCAUCAUCUGCACCGGGCUUUUUGACUGCACCCGGACUUCCUUUCAGGGCCUUGUGUAACCCAGAUUGUAUCAGCACAUCCUUGACUUGCACUUGCCACAAGCCAAAAUUUAUUAUUCCAUCGAAUUUCUCCACGUCGAACUUCAUUUGGACUUGAAGUUAACUUGACGUACCGCUUCUCCACCAAAAUGAACAGCCGUCUCGCAAGAGACACCCCGCCCGGAUCUUUCUCAAGAAAUCCUUUCUGAUGUGGAAGAUCAGACAAUGCUGCAACCACAGAGCAUACUUGGAAUAUCAAGAGACCUCAACCAGGCUCUGAUACCAAUUGUUGGGAAAUCAGUUCCCCAUCCAAACUUGGUAGAAGCAAGAAAUAAGAAUAAAAAUAGACACAAUUUAACAACACAAGAAUUUAACGUGGAAACUCCAAAUCCGGAGAAAACCACGACACACUGAAAAAUUACUAUAUGAUAAAUUUCUACAAUCACACAGUAUUUCUCACCCUCUCGACUCACAACCACUACACUCUUACAAGCCUUUGAAAACCUCUCACCCCUCUAAAACAAAGAGCAAGGAAUUUCAAACUAGAAGUAAUCACAAGACUAAAGGUAGUGAUUGGUGCAAUUGUAUCAAAGACCUUGGAACUCCUUAAAUAGCCUAAGGGUCUCCACCUACUUUGAUAGCAAAACCAAUGUGGGACAAAAAUCCCCACUUUCAUUUUUAACACAAUUCCAACAGAUAUGUGCAAACACAAUCUGCAUAGACUCAAGAGGCUUCGUAUAUCUUACAACAAGAUGUAUGGGGAAAUACCAUCGAGUUUGGAGAAGUGUUCACAGCUUGAGUAUCUUUCUUUGGUAAACAACACUUUCACUGGAUUUGUGCCGACAGAAAUUGGGAACUUGACGAAGCUUCAAAUGUUGCUCCUUGGUGUAAAUAAGUUGACUGGUAAGUUCAUUCCUAUAUUUAUGAGGUCAAAUCAUGCAUUUAAUGCCAUAUUAUUUAAUUCUUUAAUUUAUGUGCUUUAUGUUUGAGUGUCAAAUUUAAAAUUUAUCUCAGCUUAAUUGUAUGUAUAAACUCAAUUUGGACCACUAAUCAUUAUACAAUAAUGCAUACAACUGUAAGGAUGUGAUUUGUUGAUAAAGGAUUUUUCUUUUAUAACUCACACACAUCCUGGAUGACUCGAACCUCCAACCUGCAUCAUUUGAUCUUCUUUAAGUGGUAUGUUGUCUUGAAGUUGGUAUUUUAUGUUAUGCAUAAUUUCUCCUCUUUAAUUUCAACACUUUAAAUGGUGAGCUUACAUCCUCCAUCAGCAACUUGACAUUCCUUGAAAUACUUAUUCUCUCUAGUAUGUACAAGGUUUGGAAGGAUCAGUUGCACAAGGUUUUCGAAACUUUAGUGGUAAUAAAUUGCAAGGACCAUCAACAUUUACCAAUGGUUGGACUCUUUUUCGGUCAUUUUAAGUGAUAAUAAAUUGCAAGGAGCAUUACCUAGCUAAAUCCUUGAUCAAUUGUCAAAGUCAUAUAAUUGUGUCUUUCACAAAUUUAUAAAUGACUUUUCCAUAUAACAUUCAACAGAACUAGCAAGAAAUCUGAAAUACUUUGAGAUUUAAGUGGUUGAGGAUGAAGGAAACUGUUUAUUGCUUGGAGAUUUGCACAACGCAACAUAUAUAUUCCAUAAGAGAUUGGUUAUCUUCGUUGUUUAGAAACAUUGAGCAUGUAUUUUAAACAUUCUUUUUAUUGGAUUAAUGGUAAUUUAUUAAUACAUCGAUAAAUUAACAACUUUUUAGUUUAUAACGUAUUUUCUUGAUUUCAGAAAUUACAAUUAAAUCAAGUUAUAAUGAGUAAAAACUAAGAGAGAUAAUAUUUAAAUUAAAUAAAUUGAUGUAUCUAUCAAGUCAUUGUGGUUGAUAUUACGGGAGAUCCUAAUGAUGAUCAAGCUGAAGAUGAUUCAACAAUAAAUUCAAAUUGUAAAAAGUUAAAAUGGUAUAUUCAUAAUUGUAAUAUUUUAAUAAUAUUAAUGGCACCUAUAUAUACAAUAAUCUGCAUCUGGCCGGAAUACAGUCAUCGAGACAUUAAUCAAUAAGAAAAUUUUGACUUUACGACGCAAACAUUAAAAGGUUCAUAGGUUAGGGUGAUACAGUAAUGUUUUCAAUAUGCGUUUCAAUCUAGAAUAAAACUAACUUUUUGUGAUGAUUUGGAUAUUUGUAGGAGUUAUUCCACAAGAGAUUCAUCAUCUUCAUAAUUUAGGAGUGUUGGACUUGAGUUGGAACAAGUUGUCAGGCACUUUGCCACCAACCAUUUUCAACAUGUCUUCCUUGACAGCGAUUGACUUAUCAAGUAACACACUUAGCGGGGCAUUGCCUUCAGAAAUUGGGAACAUGAAAGCACUAUCUACUUUACUACUUCAGAACAAUUCUUUAACCGGUAAGAUUUCCAACUCUGGUAGAGUUUUACACAUAUUCAAAUGUUUCUUAAUUUUCAUGUAUAUUUAGCAUUUACAACCAUUGUGAGACCUUUAACUUCUUCUCAAAUCUGCAUUUCACUUUUCCAUAUAGCGUUUACAGCUAUGUUCUUCUCAAAUCUAUAUCGUCCUUUUUCUUCCAUUGAUUAGUGGAAUAUAUAUCAUUAUACUUAAUAGUAUACAGCUCAAUCUCCCAACCGAUCGAAUCACGUAUUUUACCUAUUAUUGUUAUGAUCGUUAUACUUAACAAUAUGGAACUUGACUUUGAUGACUUCAUUAUUCUCCAGGUACUAUUCCGAGAGAAAUUGGGAACAUGGAAGCACUACAGGCUUUAUACCUUAGAAACAAUGGUUUAACAGGUAAGAUUUCUUAUUGUUGUAGAGUUUUAAUUACAUAGCUCGGUGAACUUUUUGCACGAUUUAUUGUUCUCUGUCUUCCAUUGAUUAGUGGAAUAUAUAUCAUUAUACUUAAUAGUAUACAACUGAAUCUCCCAACCCAAUACUAGUUGUGUUUUUUCAUAAAUUAAUAAAUGACUUUUCCAUAUAUCAUUCAUUAGCACUAGUAAGAAAUUUGAACUACUUUGAAUUAAAUAUACUAUAUUUAAAAAGAAUGCAAUACAUUCGUCAUUAAUGUUAAACAAGAUGCUAAAUUUUAUGUAUACCAAUGUAAAUGUCUAGUUCAAAUAAUAGACAAAUGCUUAUAUAGAAUCAAAUAGUCGAUGUUGGUAAAAUGCUUUGUGCAUUUUUAGAAAUAAAGAAAUUUGAUUGAUAUCCUUUUCUAUCUUUCAAAUAAUAUAUUUGAAGGUUUCGCACCAACUUUCAGGUCAAAUACCAUCUACCAUUGGCAAUCUACCAUUAUUGAGUACUCUACAACUCUCUUCCAACAAAUUAAUCGAUAAGCUUUAGUUCCAUUCUCCAUCUGUAACUUGAAAAACCUUAAUACUCUUCUCCGCUCAACUAAUUAUUAUUCUUAUCAUCGUUAUACUUAACAACAUGGAACUUGACUUUGUUGACUUCAUUAUUCUCUAGGUACUAUUCCGAAAGAGAUUGGAAAUCUUCAUAAUUUGCAGGAAAUGUUGUUGGAUUCCAAUGAACUUAGCGGAUCAAUCCCGAGAGAAGUGGGGAACAUGACAGCUCUUCGCAACUUAUGGCUCCAGAAUAAUACUUUAAGUGGUAUGAUUUAUUAUUCACCUAGCCAUAUGUUUAGCUCCUCAAGCUAGCUCCUGUGUUAUCUUCUUUUUUUCAUACAUUGUGUUGUUAUUUUAUGUUCUUCAUAAUUUCUCCUCUUUUCAGGUCCAAUACCAUCUACUAUCAGAAACCUCUCUAAUUUGCAAGACUUAUAUCUUAGUUCAAACAAAUUUAGUGGUGAGCUUACAAUCAAUUGUCAAAGUCAUAUAAUUGUGUCUUUCACAAAUUUAUAAAUGACUUUUCCUUAUAACAUUAAUUAGGACUAGUAAGAAAUCUGAAAUAAUAGUAAGAAAUAUGAAAUACGCUAAACCUUCCAGCUGAUCGAAUCGCGUAUUUUACUUAUUAUUGUUAUGAUCGUUAUACUUAAGAAUAUGGAACUUGACUUUGAUGACUUCAUUAUUCUCCAGGUACUAUUCCGAAAGAACUUGGGAACAUGGAAGCACUACAGUUUUUAUACCUUCAAAACAAUGCUUUAACCGGUAAGAUUUCUAACUCUUGUGGAGUUUUACACAUUUUCAAAUGUUUCCUAAUUUUCAUGUAUAUUUAGCAUUUACAACCAUUGUGAGACCUUUAACUUCUUCUCAAAUCUAUAUUUGACUUUUCCAUAUAACAUUUACAGCUAUGUUCUUCUCAAAUCAAUAUUGUUCUUUGUCUUCCAUUGAUUAGUGGAAUAAAUAUCAUUAUACUUAAACAGUGUACAGCUCAAUCUCCCAUCCGAUCAAAUCACGUGUUUUUACUUAUUAUUGUUAUGAUCGUUAUACUUAAGAAUAUGGAACUUGACUUUGAUGACUUCAUUAUUCUGCAGGUACUAUUCCGAAAGAGAUUGGAAAUCUUCAUAAUUUGCAGGUCAUGUGGUUGGAUUCCAACGAACUUAGCGGAUCAAUCCCGAGAGAAGUGGGGAACAUGACAGCUCUGGCCAGCUUAAGCCUCGGCAAUAAUAGUUUAAGUGGUAUGAUUUAUUAUCACCUAGCCACAAGUUUAGCUCCUCUAGCUAGAUUGCGAGUUAAUUUCUUUUUCUCAUAUUUCAUUUGAUCUUCCUUUAAUUAUGUUGUCUUUGAAGUUGGUAGGGGUCAUUCAUUGUGUUGUUAUUUUAUGUUAUGCAUAAUUUCUCCUCUUUUCAGGUCAAAUCCCAAUCGAAGUGGGGAACAUUACAACUAUUGUCGGCUUAUACCUCUACGAAACUAAUUUAAGUGGUAUGAUUUAUUAUUGAGCUUGCCACAAGUUUAUCCCUUUUUUUGUCCUACUUUUGCUCUAGCAACGUUGUGUGUGAUUUAUUCAGGUAAAAGAUAGUAUAUUGUUUGAUAAGUCAAAUUAAACACAUGCAAACGUAAAAGAAGUUUAAUAGGGUUUUCGGAUUUGUUAUCACAAUUAUAAAUUCGAAUAGAAUAAUAUUUGAUAAUAUUGGACAAUGUUAGAUACUUCGUCCACAAAAAAUAGUCAUAGAAGGGGACGAUACGGGUUUAGAGUUAGACGAUUUUUGGGACUGUAACUUAAGUCGAUUUGGAAAUUAGGACAAAAAAAUUUUGAGGUUGUAAACACUAAUUAAUAAGUGUUGCAUCUGCUGGACAUUUAUCGGUCAUUAUCAAAUUUUUGGGCUUACACGCAUGGACCAAACAGAAGACAACCCACACGAAAGGGUUGAUUAUGUGGCAAGUACGUCACUUUUAGGACUCCAGAUAGGAUGUCAUGUGUUUGGUCCGUGCGGGAAAGUCCGAAAAUUCGAUAAUCGGUCGAGAAAUAUCUGCGAGUGCAAUGCUUAUUAAUUAGUGUUCUAUUUUUACAAGUCUGGAAGUUUUUGUCCUAAUUUCUAAAUUAACCGAAGUUAUUGUCCUAAAAAAUUCUCUAACUCCGGGUUUUAAUAAAAAUAGUUGAGUGUAUUAAUUGUAAGUGGAGAAAAUGUCCCACUUAAAAAGUAAUGUUCAUAAUCAUAAAUAACUGUUUUGUGAGUGGAGAUUGAGGUCCACCAUGUAAUAGAAUGUUUCCAAAAUUAGAAAGAGACUAAUUUUUGUGAACAUCCCAAAAUGGCGAAUAAUGAUUAUUGUGAACGAAGUAUAUUAUUUUACAAUCGGCAUGAUUUAAAAAGACAUGUCCCGCAUGUUUAAUAUUAGAACUCUUUGUCGCUCACACACAAAUUUCCUCCAGGUACUAUUCCGAAAGAGAUUGGCCAUCUUAAUAAUUUAGAGAGAUUGUGGAUGUAUUCUAACAAAUUUAGUGGAUCAAUCCCAAGAGAAGUGUGGAACAUUACAGCUCUUGUCGACUUAUACCUCUACGAUAAUACUUUAAGCGGUAUGAUUUCUUAUUUAGCUAGCCACAAGUUUAUCCCUUUUUUUACUUUUUCUCUAGCAACGUUGUGUGUGAUUUAUUCAGGUAAUAGAUAGUAUAUUGUUUGAUAGUCAAAUUAAACAGAUGCAAAGUAAAAGAAGUUUAAUAGGGUUUUCGGAGAGCUUUUAUUCAGGUAUAAGAUAAUACUUCCUCCGUCCAUAAAAAAUAGUCAUAGAAGGGGACAACACGGGCUUUAGAGUCAGAGGAUUUUUUAGGAUAGUAACUUAAGUCGAUUUGGAAAUUAGGAUAAAAAAUUUUGAGCUUGUAAAAAUAGGAUACUAAUCAAUAGGUGUUGCACCUGCAAGAUAUUUAUCUGCCAUUAUCAAAUUUUCGGGCUUACCCGCACGGACCAAACACAUGACAACCGGCACGGAGGGGUUGAUAAUGUGGCAAGCACGUCAAUUUUAGGGAUCCAGAUAGGAUGUCAUCUGCUUGGUCCGUGCGGGAAAGUUCGAAAAUUCGAUAAUUGAUCGAGAAAUAUCAUGCGGGUGCAAUUCUUAUUGAUUAGUGUCCUAUUUUUACAAGCCCGAAAAUUUUUAUCCUAAUUUCCAAAUUUACCUAAGUUACUGUCCUAAAAUUAUUCCAAAAUUAGAAAGAGACUAAUUUUUGUGGAAGUCCCAAAAUGGCAAAUAAUGAUUAUUGUGAACGGAUGAAGUAUAUUAUUUUACAAUCGGCAGGAUUUAAAGAGACAUGUCCCGCAUGUCCAGUAAAUAUAUACUUUCUCCUUCCAUGAAUGAACUUCCUAUUUUUCCUUUUAAGGAUGUCAAAAAAAAAAAAAAAAAAAAACUUUCUACCUAUUUUUGGACUAUAUGUGUAAUACUUCAUUACCUUUAUUUUUCACCUUUUUUCUCCACUCUCAAUAUCAAUAAUUUUUUCUUCAUUCUCAAUAUAUUCAACAACUUUUUUUCUACACUCUCUAUAGAAUCUAACUACUUAACUAGAUAAAUAGAAAUGGCAAUAACUCACUAACAUAAAUUAAAUUGGGUACAUAUCUCGUAAACUUUAAAUUCUAUAUAUAUGUUAUCAUGCAUACCAUGAGAUGUAUGUGUUUGAUAAAUCAAUAAACCUUAUACAAAUAAAUAAUUUUUGGACGUAAGAAUUUUAUCGAUGAUUAAUGGUAAUUUAUUAAUAUAUCGAUAAAUAUAAUUAAUUUAUAAAGCAUUUUCUUAAUUUCAGAAAUUAUAACUAAAUCAAGUUAUAAUGAGUAAAAACAAAGAGAGAUAAUAUUUAAAUUAAAUAAAUGGAUGUACCUAUCAAGUCAUUGUGGUUGAUAUUACGGAAGAUCCUAAUGAUGAUCAAGGUGAAGAUAAUUCAACAAAUCAAUCAAAUUGUAUAAAAUAGUAUUCAUAAUUGUAAUAUAUUAAUAAUAUUAAUGGGACCUAUAUAUACAAUAAUCUGCGUCGGGCCGGAAUUCAGUCAUCGAGACAUUAAUAAAUAAGAAAAUUUUGACUUUAUGACGUAAAACAUUAAAAGGUUCAUAGGUUAGGGUGAUAAGUAUAUUUUCCAUGUACGUUUCAAUCUAGAAUUAAACUAACUUUUUGUGAUGAUUUGGAUAUAUAUUUGUAGGAGUUAUUCCACAAGAGAUACAUCAUCUUCAUAAUUUACUAAAUUUGGGCUUAAGUUUGAACAAGUUGUCGGGCCAAAUACCAUCCUCCAUUUGUAACUUGACAUCCCUUGAGUAUCUUGUUCUCUCAAAAAACAUUUGGAAGGAACAAUUCCACAAUGCUUGGAAACUUGAGCUCUUUGGCCAUCUUUGGUCGUCGCAUUCCAUCAACAUUUAGCAAGGAGUGUAGUCUUGUGUCCAUCAAUUUGAAUGAUAAUAAAUUGCAAGGACCAUUACCUAAAUCCUUGAUCAAUUGCCAAAGUCUACAAGGCCUCGACAUUGGAAAUAAUAGAAUAGAAGACGAAUUUCCCUUUUGGAUGGAAGUCCUUCCAGACCUUCGAGUGCUGGUCUUGAGGUCUAACAAGUUUUAUGGUAACAUGUCACUUCCUUCACAAACCAAGAUUCCAUUUCCUAAUUUGCAAGUUUUAGAUAUAUCUCAGAAUAGAUUUGUGGGUUCUCUGCCUCAAACAUAUUUCAAGAAUUUCAGAGCAAUGAUAAAUAAAACAAACUGGCCAAUUACCGACUACUUUGGUUCAUAUUUGGGGAUGAGGCUCACCUUGAAAGGUUUGGAUCAAUUAUUAGAGAGAUUGUUGUCAGACUUUACAGCAAUUGACUUAUCCUCCAAUAGGUUUUCUGGGAGUAUUCCAGAUUCCAUAGGAAAUCUUAAGAUUCUCAAAUACUUGAAUUUGUCCAACAAUAACCUCAUAGGAAAUAUACCUUCAUCUCUUGCAAAUAUGAGUGAACUUGAAUCCUUGGACUUGUCAGAGAACAAGUUGGAUGGAGAAAUUCCAGGUGAUUUGACGAGGUUGACAUUUCUUGCGAAAUUAAACCUUUCAAUGAAUAAUCUUGUGGGGCAAAUACCACAGUCUAAGCAGUUUUCCACAUUUGAGAAUGAUUCAUACGUGGGAAACUUGGGACUGUGUGGAGUUCCGUUGACAAGAAAAUGCAAUGAAGAGAACGGGCAUCAGAUGCAGCCAGAAGAAGAAGAUGAUGACUAUUAUGGAUUUAUAGAUGGAUUCGGAUGGAGAAGUGUGGUGAUGGGAUAUGGAAUUGGAUUCAUAGUUGGGAUUGGAAUUGGUUACAUCAUUAUUAGAAAUGGAAGGCCAAGAUGGUUAGUGGAAUUAUUUUUCGGUGUUUAAUGUAAUAAUAAUAAGAAGAGGAGGCGUGUGUGGAACAUGAAUCCAGUUGAUUUAUUGGAAGCUGAUUCUGGGGAUAUUCAUCAAACAGGUGGCGAGCACAAACUUGCUUUCUAAUAGAGAUACCCAUUCAGUCCGCCACCAGUCAAGACUUUGAGUCUCCAACAAAGUUAGCAGGGAUUUGGUCUUGUUUCUGGUUUUAUUUAUGGUUUAUGACAUAGGUGUAUCAUUCAAUCAAUGCAGCUUUGAUUUUUAUUUCUAUGUGAUAUUGAAGUACUAGUACUAAAUAAUAUAUGGAAUUCUGCAUCUCAGCAUUGAUGAGUUUGAUAACUUGAUUAUGCAUUUUCAGAAGUUUAUUUUUUGUCUCCAACAUUGGUUUUUGAUGUUUUUGCUAAAGCUUGUUUUUGGUCCAGUAAUUAUUGUUAUAAGAAAAAAUAAUUAUUGAUAUAAAUAAAAGUAAUGUUUCUAGAUUAUUACAUUAGUUCCGAUAAUUGCUACUUUAAUUUAUGAGAAUUUGUACUUUUAAUUAUUUGAUCAAAUAAUUAUUGGUGUAACCAAAAGUAAUAAUUGUUGUAAUAUACAAAGUAAUUAUUUUAAUGAAGAAAUGUCAUAAACAUUACAUUUCUUCACAAUAAUUUUUGUACGUAAAAGUAAUUAUUGGUGUGAAGAAAAGUAAUGUUAUAUUCACAAGUUAAUACUUUUAUUCAUAAUUAUUUGGUCAAGUAAUUAUUAUCGUAACAAAAAGUAUUGUUAUAAUGNCAAAAAUACUACACGUGAAUCUAGUUGGAACAGAUUCUUUUAAGCCUAUGAACUGUUCGACAAAAUUCCGAAACGAAGACGACGCAGAGAAAAUACCUCAAAACAUUUAUCAUAUCAUAUGAGUUGAAACGGCCUCAAACUCAAAUUGAUUUGGGGAAAUGAUAAAACACCACAAAGGCAAAUCGUUGGUUAACUUAUAAAUCAUUUGUUUGUAUUUGUUGCUUAAUUUAUAAAUAAUGUUUUAUACAUUUUUUUCUUUUUGGCUCUUGUUUUAUGCAAAAUAUCUUACUUCUUAUUCUAUAUAAAAGUAGAAAAAAAAAUUGAGUUUGAGUUUGGACACGCACUAUGUAACUAUAUUAACAUUUAUUGAAACAAAAAAAUUAUUUAUUCAGUGGUUGAAUAUCUUGCAUUUCUGCUGUUUAUAAGGAGAUUGUAUUUUGCAGUGUUUCUAUAGCGAAUAGCGAGCUGUUGGAACUCUGUUUUGUGUAAUCAGUUAGCUAAGUAGAAGUUUUAGAAGGCUGUCUAGUUUAGUGGUUGAAUAACUUUUGUUCUGCAUUUUUUGAUGAAAUUGUUUUUAUUGGCUUUUUAAGUCAUUCCUUUUAUCAGAAAAUUACACACACACAAUCACACGACACAAGGAAAUUCAUAAGAAUAAAUGACGAAUGUUUUAAAUGUGAUGAAUUGUAGAGUGGCUGAGCAAAUUAGAUGGCUUAAGCUACUACAUACAACACGUAAAUCUUUCUUUAAAUUAAAAAGUCAAUAUCUGAAAUUUUUUAUAAAAACAUGUGGGCUGGUAUGAACUUAAAAUUGUGGUGAUAAAAAUGGGCCUGAAAAACAUAUUAUACUAUCUCCACUCAAUAUUAAGUAAGGCCCAAUCUAGAUAAGCUGAAAAAUAUUUUUUCGUAGGCCCAAAUUAAAUUAAAAUCUCUAGAAUUUAAAUUUCCAUAUUUAAGACAAAAUCUCCAAUUUUAAAGCCUUACAUCUAACUGGGGGUGCGAUUAGACAAAUUCAUAAACUAAAACAUAUAAUAAAAUUUUCAAUGACUUCAUAAUAUUUAAACUUUAAAUAACUCAAACAUAAAUAAUUUUAAAUAAAUAAAUUAGUUUCGGGCUGUCACAUACUUGAAAUGAAACGACUUUGUUUCUUAUUAAUUUAAAGGGGUUAUUGCCGGAAAAUACAUGUAGUUUGUCAAUUUUCUGGUUUAUAACAUGACCUUAUAAUUUGACCAGAAAAUACACCAAUUUUCAAUUUAAUCGCAAUUAUAACAUGACUUUGUAGCUUGACCAGAAAAUACACCAGUUUUCAAUUUAAUUGUAAUUAUAACAUGACUUUAUAAUUAAUUUAGUNNNNNNNNNNNNNNNNNNACUUAAUUUUUAUAAAAAUAAAUCAAUCAAUUAACAAUAUUUUAUACAUAACAAUUUAAUAUGAAUUUACAAUAAAUAUUAAUACAUCUAUGAUGAACAAUAAUCUAAAUAAGGUCAUGUUAUAAUUUAGAUUAAAUUAAAACUUGGUGUAUUUUCUGGUCAUACUAUAAAGUCAUGUUAUAAUUGCAAUUAAAUUGAAAAUUGGUGUAUUUUCUGGUCAAAUUAUAAGGUCAUGUUAUAAACCAAAAAAUUGACAAACUACAUGUAUUUUCCGGCAAUAACCCCUAAUUUAAAAUCCCUCUCUUACACAUGAAAUAACCUAAGUCAAAAUCCCUCUCCUGUGCUUGGAAAUUCAUUGAUGGAUUUCAGCGCCAUUCAUGAAUUCGAGGACGAGCGUGAGUUGUUGUCCAUGGACAUGGCUAUCUUAUUAUUAAAAUAUCAUGGAAAAAAAUCAGAAUUUGUGGAAAUUUUGUGUAUUUUACAGCUUAUUAUUAUUAUUAUUAUUAUUUACUCAAAAUGACUGGAAUUCAAAUUGCAACAAUUGCUCUAUUUUCAAGGGGCAAUUGUGUAGAAUUUGGUUUUAAAUUGCAAAGUGUGAAUUACCCUUUAUUAUAUCUUAUUCAAAGAUCACAAAAAGAGGAUUUAAAGUCUCCCAAAUCUAUUAACAAAAUAGAGAAUAUCUUCUGCUUUUUCACGUUAUUCUAUAGUGCUAUUUUAAUAUGAAUUUUAGGGUCAUUUUUUAUGAUUUGAGUUAGACUCAAUCUCCCAAAUCGAACAGAAAGUAGAGAGUAUUUGCAAUAUUAAAUUGAAGAUCAAAUUGGUAGACAGCUGGAAUUGUUUGAAAGUUUGAACAAAGCAAAACAUGUUUGGACGUUGACGUUGACUUGCCUUGACUUUAGCUUUCAAUAUAAAUAGUCUUUGUCUUUUUCACACUCAUCAUUAUUUUCUUCGUCUUCGUCUUCGUCUUCGUCUUUCCAGUGGGAAAAUGAUUAUUUUAGCUUUGAAUAAUGCUUCCCAUUUGUCCAUCAUAUCCACACACACACUAUAUAUACAUGUACAUGGAUUUCGUAGUUCAAUAUACUAAAAAAUUACGUCAAAAUCAAGCCAAAAAAUGGAAAAAUCUCCUCUUUUUCUCAUCCUUGCACUACUCUUACCAAUCCAUUAUUUGAUGGAUUAUAGCUCUGCCAAAAACGAUAUCAACACCGAUCGUUCUUCACUCCUUGCCUUAAAAUCUCAAAUCACUUCAGACCCUCAAAACAUAUUGACCAAAAAUUGGAGCACUGAAGCCAUUGUUUGCAGUUGGAUCGGAGUUACUUGUGAUUCACGUUACAAUAGGGUUACUCAGCUGAAUAUAUCGUACAUGGGUCUUGUCGGAACCCUCCCACCAGAAAUCGGGAAUCUUUCUUCUCUCGUCUCUUUAGAAGCGAAUCAUAACUCUUUUCAUGGCCCCAUUCCCCCAUCUAUCUUCAACAUGUCAUUUCUAGAAGUUUUGGAUCUACGGAAUAAUAGUUUGUCCAGUAGUUUGCCUCUUGAUAUGUGCAUACACAAUCUGCAUAGACUCAAGUGGCUUCGUAUAUCUUACAAUGAGAUGUAUGGGGAAAUACCAUCGAGUUUGGGGCAGUGUUCACAGCUUGAGUAUCUUUCUUUGUACAAUAACAAUUUCACUGGAUUUGUGCCCAGAGAAAUUGGGAACUUGACGAAGCUUCAAAUAUUGUACCUUGAUGUAAAUAAAUUGACUGGUAAGUUGAUUCCUAUAAUUAUGAGGUCAAAUCAUGCAUUUAAUGCCUUAUUAUUUAAUUCUUUAAUUUGUGUGCUUUGCGUUUGAGAGUCAAAUUUAAACUUUAUAUCGGGUGAUAAGUAAUAUUUUUCCCUAUACGUUUCAAUCUAGAAUUAGCUAGACUAACUUUUUGUGAUUAUUUGGAUAUUUGAAGGAAUUAUUCCACAAGAGAUUCAUCAUCUUCAUAAUUUACGAGAGUUGGACUUGAGUUUGAACAAGUUGUCAGGCACUUUGCCUUCAGAAAUUGGGAACAUGAAAGCACUACAGGAUUUAUACCUUGAAAACAAUGCUUUAAACGGUAAGAUUUCUAACUCUUGUAGAGUUUUACACAUAUUCAAAUGUUUCUUAAUUAAUUUUCAUGUAUAUUUAGCAUUUACAUCCUUUGUGAGAUCUUUAACUUCUCAAAUCUAUAUUUGACUUUUCCACACAGCAUUUACAGCUAUGUUCUUCUCAAAUCAAUAUUGUUCUUUGUCUUCCAUUGAUUAGUGGAAUAAAUAUCAUUAUACUUAAACAGUGUAUAGCUCAAUCUCCCAUCCGAUCAAAUCACGUGUUUUUACUUAUUAUUCUUAUGAUAGUUAUACUGAAGAAUAUGGAACUUGACUUUGAUGACUUCAUUAUUAUCCAGGUACUAUUCCGAAAGAGAUUGGAAAUCUGUAUAAUUUACGGUUUAUGUGGUUGUAUUCUAACAAACUUAGCGGAUCAAUCCCGAGAGAAGUGGGGAACAUGACAGCUCUGGGCAGCUUACACCUCGAGAAUAAUAGUUUAAGUGGUAUCAUUUAUUGUUUCCCUAGCCACAAGUUUAGCUCCUCAAGCUAGCUUGCGAGUUAAUUUAUGUUAUGCAUAAUUUCUCCUCUUUCCAGGUCCAAUGCCUAAAUCCUUGAUCGAUCAAAUGUCAAAGUCUAAAUAAAAAUAACAAUAACUCACUAACAUAAAAUAAAUAGUGUACAUAUCACGUAAACAUUAAAUUCUAUAUAGUAUAUGUUAUCAUACCUUGAGAUGUAUGUGUUUGAUAAAUUAGUAUGACCCCCAAAUUUCUCAAAAAUUAUAAUAAACCUUAUACAAAUAAAUAAUUUUGCGGCCUAAGAAUUUUAUCGAUGAUUAAUGGUAAUUUAUUAAUAUAUCAAUAAAUUAACAACUUUUUAGUUUAUAAAGUAUUUUCUUAAUUUCAGAAAUUACAAUAAAUCAAGUUAUAAUGAGUAAAAACAAAGAGAGUUAAUAUUUAAAUUAAAUAAAUGGAUGUAUCUAUCAAGUCAAUGUGGUUGAUAUUACAGGAGAUCCUAAUGAUGUUCAAGUUGAAGAUGAUUCAACAAUAAAUUCAAAUUAUAAGAAGUUAAAAUAGUAUUCAUAAUUGUAAUAUUUUAAUAAUAUUAUUUUAAUUAUAAUAUUAAUGGGACCUAUAUAUACAAUAAUCUGCAUCGGGUCGGAAUCCAGUCAUCGAGACAGUAAUCAAUAAUUAGAAAAUUUUGACUUUAGGAUGCAAACAUUAAAAGGUUCAUAGGUUAGGGUGAUAAGUACUCCCUCCGUCCACGAAUAAAUACUCAUAUUCUUUUUGUCCGUCGAAAUGUAUCCCACACAAUCCUUUAAUUAAUACUCUUAAAAAGUGGGAUCCUUAUUCUACUCACACUACACUCAAUACAUUGCUUAAAACUCGUGCCGUCCACAAAUGGGUACUCAUUUCGUGGAUAGAGUGAAUAAUAUUUUCCAUGUACGUUUCAAUCUAGAAUUAAACUAACUUUUUUUUGAUGAUUUUAAUAUAUAUUUGUAGGAGUUAUUCCACAAGAGAUUCGUCAUCUUGAUAAUUUACAAGAGUUGGACUUGAGUUCAAACAAGUUGUUUGGCACUUUGCCACCAACCAUUUUCAACAUGUCUUCCUUGACAUUGAUUGACUUAUCAAGUAACACACUUAGCGGGGCAUUGCCUUCAGAAAUUGGGAACAAGAAAGCAAUACUAGAGUUUUUAAACCUUCAAAACAAUUCUUUAACCGGUAAGAUUUCUAACUCUUGUAGGGUUUUACACAUAUUCAAAUGUUUCUUAAUUUUCAUGUAUAUUUAGCAUUUACCGCCAUUGUGAGACCUUUAACUUCUUCUCAAAUCUAUAUUGACUUUUCCAUAUAGCAUUUACAGGUAUGUUUCUGAAAUCUAUAUUGUUCCUUGUCUUCCAUUGAUUAGUGGAAUAAAUAUCAUUAUAGUUAAAUAGUACACAGCUCAAAAUUUCCUCAAGCUAGCUUGCAAGUUAAUUUCUUUUUUUUGGGAUUCCCACAAACUUAGUGGAGCUUUGCACGCACAAAUUUGGAAUAUUAGAACUCUUUGUCGCUCACACCUUUUUAACAUUUAUUUAACUUUUCCGCCAGGUACUAUUCCUAAAGAGAUUGGAAAUCUUCAUAAUUUGCAGGACAUGUGGUUGUAUUCCAACAAACUUAGUGGAUCAAUCCCGAGAAAAGUGGGGAACAUGACAGCUCUUGACCAGUUAGGGCUCGACAAUAAUACUUUAAGUGGUAUGAUUUAUUAUCACCUAGCCACAAGUUUAGCUCCUCAAGCUGGCUUGCGAGUUAAUUUCUUUGUCUCUUAUUUCAUUUGAUCUUCUUUAAUUAUGUUGUCUUAUUUCAUUUCGUGUUGUUAUUUUAUGUUAUGCAUAAUUUCUCCUCUUUUCAGGACCAAUGCCUAAAUCUUUGAUCGAUCAAUUGUCAAAGUCUAAAUAAAAAUAACAAUAACUCACUAACAUAAAAUAAAUAGUGUACAUAUCACGUAAACUUUAAAUUCUAUAUAUNGAUCAUAGACUCCUUCUUUAAGUAGAAAUAAUCCAUGAUUAUCUUGUUGAACUUUAAUGUCGAUCCUUUAAAGAUAAAAAGUCCAUGACAAGCUUGAAGUCUAUCCUUAAUAUGAAAGAAGUCCACAACGAAUAGAUCUUUGAGGAGAGAUUGAAUACUUCAACAAAACCUUGUGCAAAUUUGAAAAGGUAUCUUUUGAGAAUAUUCUGGUACUGACGGUAUCACAUCAGGUAGCUCUGAUGGUAUCAAUUGAUAGCAAAAUGUCUAUAGAAAUGACGACAACAUAACAGAGUAAACAAUACUCUAACAAAUAUCAUUAUACUUAAAUAGUAUACAUACAGCUCAAUCUCCCAACCGAUUGAAUCGUAUAAUUUUACUUAUUAUUGUUAUGAUCGUUAUACUUAACAAUAUGGAACUUGACUUAAUUUGAUGACUUCAUUAUUCUCCAGGUACUAUUCCGAAAGAAAUUGGAAAUCUUCAUAAUUUGAGGUGGAUGUGGUUGCAUUCUAAUAAACUUUGCGGAUCAAUUCCGAGAGAAGUGUGGAACAUGACAGCUCUGGGCAGCUUACACCUCGGCUAUAAUAGUUUAAGUGGUAUCAUUUAUUAUCAUCUAGCCACAAGUUUAGCUCCUCAAGCUAACUUGCGAGUUAAUUUCUUUUUCUCAUAUUUCAUAUGAACUUCUUUAAUUAUGUGGUAUGUUGUCUUUGGAGUUGGUAGGGGUCAUUCAUUGUGUUGUUGUUUUAUAUUAUUCAUGAUUUCUCCUCUUUUCAGGUCCAAUACCAUCUACCAUUGGAAACCUAUCACGUUUAUGGCACUUAAAUCUUGCUUCCAACAAAUUCAGUGGUGAGUUUCCAUCCUCCAUCAGCAACUUGACAUAUUCUUUGAAAUACUUAAUCUCUAGUACAUAACAGUUUGGAAGGUUUUCGAAACUUUAGCAAAUCUUUGAUGAUCUUUCGUUUAAACACAAACCAAUUUAGUGGUAUUAAAUUGCAAGGACCAUCAACAUUUACCAAUGGUAGUAAUCCUUUUCAGUCAUUUUUUUAGGGGAUCUUUUCCGGUCAAUUUAAGUGGUAAUAAAUUGCAAGCAACAUUACCUAAAUCUUUGAUCAAUUGUCAAAGUCAUAUAGUUGUGUAUUUCACAAAUUUAUAAAUGACUUUUCCAUAUAGUAUUCAUUAGGUCUAGUAAGAAAUCUGUUGAAAUUAAAUAUACUAUAUUUAGAAAUAAUGCAAUACAUUCGCCAUUAUGUUAAACAAGAUGUUGAACUUUAUGUAUACCAAUGUAAAUGUCUAGUUCAAAUUACAGACAAAAGCUUAUAUAGAUUAAAAUUGUCGAUGUUGGUAAAAUGCUUUGUGCUUUUUUAGAUAUAAAGAAAUUUGAUUCAUAUCAUUCUCUAUCUUUCCAAUAAUAUAUCUGAAGGCCUCGUACCAACUUUCAGGUCAAAUACCAUCCUCCAUUUGUAACUUGACAUCCCUUGAGUAUCUUGUUCUCUCAAACAACACUUUGGAUGGAUCAAUUCCACAAUGCUUUGGAAACUUGAGCUCUUUGGCCAUCUUUCAUUUAAAUGAAAAUCAGUUUAAUGGUCUCAUUCCAUCAACAUUUAGCAAGGGGUGUAUCUUGGUCAUAAUUUGAAUGUAAUAAAUUGCAAGGACCAUUACCUAAAUCCUUGAUCAAUUGCCGAAGUCUACAAGGCCUCGACGUUGGAAAUAAUAGAAUAAAGACGAAUUUCCCUUUUGGAUGGAACCUUCCAGACCUUCGAGUGUUGGUCAUGAGGUCUAACAUGUUUUAUGGCAACAUGUCACUUCCUUCACAAACCAAGAUUCCAUUUGCUAAUUUGCAAGUUUUAGAUAUAUCUCGGAAUAGAUUAGUGGGAUCUCUACCUCAAAGAUAUUUCAAGAAUUUUAAAGCAAUGAUAGAGGAAAAUGAGACAAUCACAUCAAAUGAAUUUGAAAAUUAUGUGGAGAUGAGGCUCACCUUGAAAGGUUUGGAUCAAUUAUUACAGAGAUUGUUGUCAGCCUUUACAACAAUUGACUUAUCCUCCAAUAGGUUUUCUGGGAGUAUUCCACAUUCCAUAGGAAAUCUUAAGAUUCUCAAAUACUUAAAUUUGUCCCACAAUAACCUCAUCGGAAAUAUACCUCCAUCUCUUGGAAAUAUGAAUGAACUUGAGUCCUUGGACUUGUCAGUGAACAAGUUGAAUGGAGAAAUUCCAAGUGAAUUGACAAGGUUGACAUUUCUUGCGAAAUUAAACCUUUCAAUGAAUAAUCUUGUGGGGCGAAUACCACAGUCUAAGCAGUUUUCCACAUUUGAGAAUGAUUCAUAUGUGGGAAACUUGGAACUGUGUGGAGUUCCGUUCACGAGAAAAUGCAACAAGGAGAAGGGACAACGGCCAGAAGAAGAAGAAGAUGAUGAUGAUGAUGAUGAGUCUGGAUUUAUAGAUGGAUUUGGUUGGAGAAGUGUGGUGAUGGGAUAUGGAAGUGGAUUCAUAGUGGGAAUUGGAAUUGGUUACAUUAUUAUUAGAAAUGGAAGGCCCAGAUGGUUAGCUGAAUUCUUUUUUGGCGUUGGAUAUAAUUAUAAGAUGAAGAAGAGAUGCAGCAAUGCUACACCAACACGCCGCAGGAGAACUUAAUUGAAGCCCAAAAGAAUUCAUUUGUUCUUCAGUUGGUGUGUUUUGGUCGAUUUGAACUUUGGAGUUUAUGAAAUAUUGUUGUAUGUUCGAAUUUGCGAAGUUUUAAUUUUAUCUUGUUUCGAUAUAUUUUUUAGAUUAAAUCAGUUUUGUGAUUUUAUUUGGUAAAUUUUUAGAUUUGUUAAAAAUGACUUAGUUUUAGUGACAUAGAACACUUGAUUGUCCACGCUAAUAAUUUUUUUAGAUCAUUCUGUUUGAGCAGAUUUUUGCACGCCUACGAACUGUUUGAUAAAAGUCCGAAAUGAAUUCUCGGAGUUGUUCAGGUUAACGCAUAAUUCGCUCACCAAAGCUAACGCAUACUUUUAACAAUUUAAAUAGAUAUUUAUUGGGAAAAUUCUUAAAUCAAAUGAUAGUAUUUAGUUAAAUAAAUAUAUAUUUACAAUUUCUUAAUUUCCUAUAACAUGCCCAACAUAUUCUACCCGAGUUGACGCUACAUUAAAUGUAAACACUUUUAGGAGCUUAUAAGCUCUUGAUGAUGUUUGACAAAAUGAGCUAUUACACAACUUAUAAGGUAACCAAGAGUAUGGUAUUCCGUGUGCGUGUGUUGCCAAGCAGUAAGAGCUUAAUGCCUAAGGCCAAAAGUCUUGGAUUCGAGUCCCUUGUGGCGCGACCUUUUAAAUUUCUUUAUUUAUAAAAAAUAAGAUUUAAGUUAUUGCACCUAAAUAAUUUUUUGAUAAAUUCAAAAAGAACUUCUUAUUUUUUAAAUCUUAUAAGCAACAUUUAUUUUAUAAAAGUUACCCUACUAUUAUUUUUUAUUUCUAUCAUAUACUCUUUCAAUUUUAUAUCCCUAACUUUGUCGAUAUUAAACUCAUCAUUUUCUGCAUCAAAAAUCACCAAAUUAUAUAUUAAAUUACAUUAAAGCACAAAAUAAUCUAAGAAUAUGAGCAACUCAAAUACACACUUUAAGUUUCAAAUUAUCUUACCCAGGAUGCCAUAUCGUAUCUCAACUUCCUCCUCUUUCUCAUAAAACAACUUUGUUUUGACUAUUCCGCCACUUACUUCUUAUUUUAUACAAGUAAACAACUUUGUUUUCUUUUAAGGGGUGCCUUUACUUUGGUGUUAAAAUUUUCAUUGGAAAAUGAUGGAUAAGAAAAGAUGAGAAAAUAUUAUUUUUUCUUCUUUUUUUAUGUUAUGUUUAUUAGAGAUGAAAAGAUGAGAGAGUAUUGGAGAGAAAAAAAUGUGAAAAUGAGCUGCCCAAGAAAAUAUUUGAUUCUGCCCGGAGAAAAUUUUACAUUAUAGUAAAUAUAUGAAAACGGUGAAAAAUAUGUGAAAAUAUAUUUUUUUUCUCUCAUUUUCCAUCAAAGUAAACGCACCCUAACAGGUAACUGUGAUUCACGUUAUAGUAGACAAACUCAUUUAAAUAUCUCGCACAUGGAACUAGAAAUCAAAAAUCAUUCUUGCAUAAUUGAGUUUGGGUCAAUGUUCACAACUUGACUUGUGCCUACACAAAUUGGCAGCAUCAUGUGUGACACACAUUUUGUCUUUUUCUUCAGCAAAGUCCAUUCAUUACUGAAGCUUCUUAAUUUCAUUUUUCAUUUGUGGGACCCAAAAAAUGCGGCUAUAUUUGUAGUAGUUUCAUUUUCACUCGCUUUUGCCUCCAAAACUCUUAUUUUCUUCUUAAUUCUUUGCCCCAUUCACACUCCAACUUAAUUAAUUAAAAAUUGAUUGGAGAAAUUCAUACAUUUUUGCCGUAGGACUUGGGAAAGAUUAUUUUUAGAUUUCAAUAUAAACAGCACAACUACAAUAUUAGCACUCUGCAUUCACAAUAUGAAGAGAGUUUCCACAUUUUUCCUACUUUCCCUACUCAUGGGGUUUUCUUGCCUUAGCCUUGCUAACACAGAUCAAAUCAAAAGUGAUGAAUCAUCACUUCUUGCCUUCAAAUCCCGCAUCACUUCAGAUCCUUCCAAUAUUUUUAAAAAUAAUUGGACCACCGGAACCUCUAUCUGCACGUGGAUGGGAGUUACUUGCGAUUCACGUUAUAGUAGGGUGACUGCUUUAGAUCUCUCGAAUAUGAGACUCGAAGGCAGCAUCCCACCAGAAAUCAUAAAUCUUUCUUUUCUUGUUUCUCUAGAUUUGAGUGUGAACUCUUUUCAUGGUCCCCUACCAAAGGAUAUUUGCAGGCACAACAACCUUCGAAGACUCAAAGAACUUUACUUGUACUCCAACAAAUUGAAGGGGGAGAUACCAUUGAGCUUGGGUGAAUGUCCACAACUUGAGAUUAUUGACUUGUCAGACAACAACUUUGGUGGACAUGUGCCUGCACAAAUUGGGAACAUCACACAGCUUAAGGAAUUACGCCUUAGUUGGAACAAUUUGACAGGUAUGGUCUUAUCUCAAUAAUGAGAAUUUAACUCGUUCGAGUUUUAAAAAAAAUUAGGCCACUAUUUUAGGGUGUGGUUUGAAAAAAUAGGCCAAUUUUUUCGAACUUGCAAAAAUAGGUCAAUUAUUUUAAAUUUUGACGUCCGUAAGCCACAUUUGAUUCUAAUCGGGCUAUUUAGGGCCAAAUAUGGCCUAUUGAUGCCGAAUUGGGGCAAAUGUGGCCAAAGAUGCUAAAAUUUAAAGUAAUUGACCUAUUUUUGCAAGUUCAAAAAAUAUUGACCUAUUUUUUUGCAAAUCGUUAUAAGAUAGUGACUGCAAAAAAUUUUAAACUCAACUGGUUUGAUCCCACUUUUCCGUUUCUAUUGGGAUUUCAUGAAAUGACUUGAUGAUAUAUGCCAUUCAGUUUCGUAUCUGACUUUACUCAAGACGUUCUAAAGUUCCAACUUUUCAAAGAAUUUUCAAAAAAUUAAUUAAGAGAAACUCCCAAGACAUUUUAGUUUACUCAGAAAAUUUGAAAACCACAUUUCCCCAACUUUUACUUGGUGAAAACAUGACUAAACAAUAAGGCUAAAAACAAGGAUUUUUACUUAUAGUUUGUCCAGAUACAUUCAAAGUGAAGUUUCUUAGCUUCGAUCUACGUACUUAAAUCUUAACCAAAUUUCAAUCAACUUCAUUCCAUACAUUCAUAAACAUAAUAGAUACAAGAUUUCAACAACUUCCUUCAAAAAUUAUGAAAUCAAGAUGCACAAAUCUUGCAAUUCUUACAUCUUCACACAUGUUUCUCAUAUCAUAUUGAAACUCAUACUUUCAUCUCCCAACCAAUCGAACCACGUAUUUCACUUAAUAUUGUUAUGAUGGUUAUACUUAACAAUAUGGAACUUGACUUUGAUGACUUCAUUAUUCUCCAGGUACUAUUCCGAAAGAGAUUGGAAAUCUUCAUAGUUUACAGAUCAUGCGUUGGGUUCCAACAAACUUAGCGGAUCAAUCCCGAGAGAAGUGUGGAACAUGACAGCUCUUAGCAGCUUACUGCUCGACAAUAAUAGUUUAAGUGGUAUGAUUUAUUGUUUCCCUAGCACAAGUUAGUUCCUCAAGCUAGCUCGUGAGUUAAUUUCUUUUUGUUGAUGUAUUUGGAUAUUUGUAGGAGUCAUUCCACAAGAGAUUCACCAUCUUCAUAAUUUACAAUGGUUGGCCUUGAGCUUGAACAAGUUGUCGGGCACUUUGCCAUCAUCAAUUUUCACAUGUCUUCCUUGACAGUGAUUCGCUUAUCAAGAACAUGUUUAGCGGGGCAUUGCCUUCAGAAAUUGGAAACAACAAGACAACAGCACUACAUGUUUUACACCUUAAAAACAAUACUUUAAGUGGUAAGAUUUCUAUCUCUUGGAGAUAUAGCAUUUACAGCUAUUGUGAGACCUUUAAGUUCUCAAAUCUAUAUUUGACUUUUCCAUAUAGCUGGUACGAGUCAUAUAUUGUGUUGUUAAUUUAUAUUAUGCAUAAUUUCUUCUCUUUUCAGGGCUAUUACCAUCUACUAUUGGAAACCUAUCAAGUUUGUACUACUUAAAUCUUGGUUCCAACAAGUUUAAUGGUGAGCAUUCAUCCUCCAUCUGCAACUUGACAUAUAUAGAGUAAAAUAGUCGAUUUUAGUAAGAUAUUGCUCUGUGCAUUUAUAUCUACUUAUCUAUUAUAUGAAUAUUUAUUUUUAUUCCAACACAGUUACAUAAACAUAUCAAAUAAAAUUAGUGGCAUGUCAUCAUCAUACUUAAUAAUUACAUAUAGCUCAAUCUCCUAACUAAAUCAUGCAUUUUACUUAGUAAUGUUAUUUUACUUAGUAAUUUAUUAUUCGGACACAAGUUUAGUAGUAACAUGUUGACUUGUAGUUGGUAGCUAGGAGUCAUACAUUGUGUUGUUAUUUUAUGUCAUGCAUAUUUUAUCCUCCUUUCAGGUCCAAUACCAUCUACCAUUGGAAACCUAUCAAAUUUGUACUACUUGAAUCUUGGUUCUAACAAAUUUCAUGGUGAGCUUUCAUCUUCCAUCUGCAGCAUGACAUUCCUUGAAAUACUUUUACUCUCUAGUAUAUAAUAGUUUUGAAGAAUCAAUUGCACAAGGUUUUCGAAACUUUAGCAAACUUUGAAUUUCAUUUAAACAAACCAGUUUAGUUGCCUCAUUCCAUCAACAUUUACCUAAAGAAUUUUAUGUGGUAAUAAAUUGCAAGGACCAUUACCUAAAUCCUUGAUCAAUUGCAAAAGUCUACAAGCAAUUUUAUUGGAUAGAUAUAUUUAUUUAUAAGCCCUAUCAAAUAGCUAUAAAUAUAUAUCAAAUAGAUUUAGUGUAAUAUUUAAUGAAUUAAUAUAUUUUUAUAAAUAUAUAAUAUUUUAUUUAUAAAAUUACCCUUAAAAUAAAAUAUGUAAUAAGAAUAUAAUAUGCAAUCUAUAUUUUAUGCCCAAAACACUUUUUAUAUUAGUAUAGAUAAAGAAAUUUGAUUUUUAUCCUUUUAUGUCUUUCAAAUAGUAUGUUUGUUACCAACUUUCAGGUCAAUUACCAUCUACCAUUGUGAAUAUUCUACCAUUGAAUUUUCUGCAACUCUCUUCCAACAAAUUAAUCGGAGAGAUUCCACUCUCCCUCUGUAACAUGACAUCCCUUCGGUAUCUUCUUCUCUCAACAAACAAUUUGGAAGGAAUAAUUCCACAAUGCUUUGGAAACUUCAGCUAUUUGGCCAUCUUUCAUUUAAAUGAAAAUAAGUUUAGUGGUCUCCUUCCAUCAACAUUUAGCGAGAGGUGUAGUCUUGUUUCCAUCAAUUUGAAUGGUAAUAAAUUGCAAGGACGAUUACCUAAAUCCUUGAUCAAUUGCGAAAGCCUACAAGCACUCGACAUCGGAAAUAAUAGAAUACAAGAUGAAUUUCCUCUCUGGAUGGAUGUCCUUCCAGACCUUCGAGUGUUGGUCUUGAAGUCUAACAAGUUUUAUGGGAACAUAUCACUUCCUUCACAAACCAAGAUUUCAUUUCCUAAUUUGCUAAGUUUUAGAUAUAUCUCGGAAUAGAUUCGUGGGUUCUUUGCCUCAAAUAUAUUUCAAGAAUUUCAGAGCAAUGAAAGAGGAAAAUGAGAAAAUCACAUCAAAUGAGAUUGAAAAUUAUGUGGAGAUGAGGCUCACCUUGAAAGGUCUGGAUCAAUUAUUACGGAGAUUGUUGUCGGACUUUACAACAAUUGACUUAUCCUCCAAUAGGUUUUCUGGGAGUAUUCCAAAUUCCAUAGGAAAUCUUAAAUUUCUCAAAUACUUGAAUUUGUCCCACAAUAACCUCAUAGGAAAUAUACCUUCGUCACUUGGAAAUAUGAAUGAACUUGAAUCCUUGGACUUGUCAGUGAACAAGUUGAAUGGAGAAAUCCCAAGUGAAUUGACUAGGUUGACAUUUCUUUCAACAUUAAACCUUUCAAUGAAUAAUCUUGUUGGACAAAUACCACAAUCUACUCAGUUUUCCACAUUUGAGAAUGAUUCAUAUAUGGGAAACGGGGGAUUGUGUGGACUUCCAUUGACCAAACAAUGCAAUGAGGAGAAUGGGCAGCAGAUGCAGCUAGAAGAAGAUGAUGAUGAUGAAGAUGAUAAGUAUGGAUUUAUAGAUGGGUUUGGAUGGAGAAGUGUGGUGAUGGGAUAUGGAAGUGGAUUCAUAGUUGGGAUUGGAAUUGGUUACAUUAUUAUUAGAAAUGGAAGGCCAAGAUGGUUAGUGGAAUUCUUUUUUGGAGUUGGAUAUAAUUAUAAGAUGGAGCUGAGACGUAGCAGAGCUACACCAACACCAACAACACGCGGGAGAACUUAAUUGAAGCCCAAAUCAAUUGUGUGCUUUACUUGUGCCGAUUUGUGUUUUCUUUUAUCUUUUUUACGUUUUGAAUUGCUACUUAGUGUGUUUUUCUCGAUUUCAACUUUAGAGUUUAUGAAAUGUUGUUGUAUAUUCGAAUGUGUUAAGUUUUAGUUUCAUCUCGUUCUCAUUUUGAUCUAGUUGACAACUAGAUCAUUGUGUUGGAACUCUCUUUUAACAUAAAACCGGUGUCUUUUAAGUGAUGUGUAUAAGAGAUUUUGCUGUAGCGGUAAAAGAAGUUUAAUCGGGUUUUUGGAGAGCUUCUAUUCAGGUAUAAAAUAAUACUUCAUCCGUCCACAAAAAAUAAUCAUAGAAGGAGAUGACACGGGUUUUAAUAAAAAUAGUUGAGUGUAUUAAUUGUAAAUGGAGAAAAGGUCCUACUUCAUUACCUUAAAUUUUCACAUUUUUUUGCCACUCUCAAUAUUUUCAAUAAUUUUUUCUCCACUCUCAAUAUAUUCAACAACUUUAUUUCUCCACUCUCUAUAGAAUCUAACUACUUAACUAGAUAAAUAAAAAUAAUAAUAACAAUGACUCACUAACAUAAAAUAAACAAGGUACAUAUCACGUAAACUUUAAGUUCUAUAUAUAUGUUAUCAUACUAUAGUUAUAAUAAACCUUAUACAAAUAAAUAAUUUUGGGACCUAAGAAUUUUAUCGAUGAUCAAUCGUAAUUUAUUAAUGUAUCGAUAAAUUAACAACUUUUUAGUUUAUAAAGUAUUUUCUUGAUUUCAGAAAUUAUGAUUAAAUCAAGUUAUAAUGAGUAAAAAUAAAGAGAGACAAUAUUUAAAUUAAAUAAAUAGAUGUAUCUAUCAAGUUAUUGUGGUUGAUAUUACGGGAGAUCAUAAUGAUGAUCAAGCUGAAGAUGAUUCAACCACAAAUUCAAAUUGUAUAAAGAUAAAAUAGUAUUCAUAAUUGUAAUAUUUUAAUAAUAUUAAUGGGGCCUAUAUAUGCAAUAAUAUUGUGCAUCGGGCCGGAAUCCAGUCAUCGAGACAUUAAUCAAUAAGAAAAUUUUGACUUUAGGACGCAAAACAUUAAAAGGAUCAUAGGUUUGGGUGAUAAGUAAUAUUUUCCAUAUAUGUUUAAAUCUACCAUUAAACUAACUUUUUGUGAAGUUUUGGAUAUUUGUAGGAAUUAUUCCACAAGAGAUACAUCAUCUUGAUAAUUUAGGAGCUAGUGUUGGACUUGAGUUUGAACAAGUUGUCAGGCACUUUGCCACCAACCAUUUUCAACAUGUCUUCCUUGAUUGAUAUGGAUUGACUUAUCAAGUAACACACUUAGCGGGGCAUUGCCUUCGGAAAUUGGGAACAUGAAAGUAGCACUAGCGUUUUUAAACCUUCAAAACAAUGCUUUCACUCUUAUAGAGUUUUACACAUAUUCAAAUGUUUCUUAAUUUUUAUGUAUAUAUUGGAUUUACAGCCAUUGUGAGACCUAUGUACUUCUUCUCAAACCUAUAUUUGACUUUUCCAUAUAGCAUUUACAACUAUGUUCUUCUCAAAUCUAUAUUGUUCUUUGACUUUCAUUGAUUACUGGAAUAAAUAUCAUUAUACUUAAAAUAGUAUACAGCUCAAUCUCCCAACCAAUCGAAUCACGUAUUUUACUUAUUAUUCUAAUGAUCGUUAUACUAAACAAUAUGAAACUUGACUGAUGACUUCAUUAUUCUCCAGGUACUAUUCCGAGUGAAAUUGGGAACAUGGAAGCACUACAAUUUUUAUACCUUGGAAACAAUGGUUUAACCGGUAAGAUUUCUUAUUGUUGUAGGGUUUUAAACCUAUUCAACAUGUUUAUUUCCAAUUGGAACCAUUUUCAGCACGCUUGUCUCCUUAUCCAAAAAGCAUAUAUAAUUACGGAGCUCGGUGAACUUUUUUGUACGAUUUAUUGUUCUUUGUCUUCCAUUGAUUAGUGGAAUAUACUCCCUCCGUCCACCAAUUGAUAUCCUAUUUUCCUUUUUGGUCCGUGCACUAAUUUAUGUUCUACCCAUUUAUAGUAACUCUUUAUAAUUUUUUAAUUGGUGGGUUCCAAUAAACAAUACAAUUUUUCUCCACUCAACUAAUAAACAAUACACUUUGUGGGUCCCUUUGUCCACGCAACUAAUAAAUAAUAUAUUUUGUGGGUCCCUUUCUCCACUCACUACACUUUUUCUUAAAACCCGUAUUUCCUCCCCUACGUCAUAAAUUAGUGGACGGAGAGAAUAUAUCAUUAUACUUAAUACUAUACAGCUCAAUCUCCCAACCCAUUACUAGUUGUGUUUUUCACAAAAUGUCUAGUUUAAAUAACAGACAAAUGUUGGUAAAAUGCUUUGUGCAUUUUUAGAUAUAAAGAAAUUUGAUUCAUAUCCUUCUCUAUCUUUCAAAUAAUAUAUUUGAAGGUCUUGUACUAACUUUCAGGUCAAAUACCAUCAACCAUUGGGAAUAUUCUACCAUUGAUUGUUCUACAACUCUAUUCCAACAAAUUAAUCGGUGAGCUUUCAUCCUCCAUCUAUAACUUGACAUCUCUUGAUGCUCUUGUUCUCUCAAAUAUCACCUUGGAAGGAACAAUUCCACGAUGCUUUGGAAACUUGAACUCUUUGACCAUCUUUCAUUUAAAUGAAAAUCAGUUUAGUGGUCUCAUUCCAUCAACAUUUAGAGAGGUGUGUAAUUUUGUGUCCAUCAAUUUGAAUGGUAAUAAAUUGCAAGGAACAUUACCUAAAUCCCUGAUCAAUUGCGGAAGUCUACGAAGCCUCGACGUUGGAAAUAAUAGAAUACAAGAUGAAUUUCCCUUCUGGAUGGAAGUCCUUCCACAGCUUGAAGUGUUGGUCUUGAGGUCUAACAAGUUUUACGGUAACAUGUCACUUCGGGCUAAUUGCCGCUAAAUCCAUGUACUUUUUCAAUUUUUGAUUUUUUCUCAUGGCAAAAAAAAAUCUACUUUAAAAUCCAUGAAUUGCAAAAUUGAUUGGAAAUUUCCCCCGCAUCCGAUUUCCGGCCAUCAGCGAAAUGAGUCAGAUCCUAUGUGGCGAAAUUCAUUCCGGGUGUUAAGUUUAAUGAAUGACAUGGACGCCACAUAAGAUUUUAAAAACUGAAAAAAAUUAUAGGAAAUCUUAAGAUUCUCAAAUACUUGAAUUUAUCCCAGAAUAACCUCAUUGGAAAUAUACCUUCAUCUCUUGCAAAUAUGAGUGAACUAGAAUCUUUGGACUUGUCAGUGAACAAGUUGGAUGGAGAAAUUCCAAGUGAAUUGACAGGGUUGACAUUUCUUGCGAAAUUAAACCUUUCAACGAAUAAUCUUGUGGGGCAAAUACCACAAGCCCAAAAGAAUUGUUAAACUGGGGCCUUCUGGCUCCGCCAUUGGUUACAACAAUACAACAGACUUCGUUGUCAACUUCGUUUUUGGCUUUAUAAGAUACUAGCUAGUAACCUGUUGAAAUUUGAUGGAGUAUUAUUUUUUUUGUAAUGAAUUUAUCUUUACAUAACUUUUGAAAUUAAUUUAAUUUAAUGUAAUAGAGUUCAAAUUAUAUUAAUCUCAACCACCUAUAUAAAUCAAAUCUUAAUAUUUUGUUGGGAGAAUAGAAAUGUUAUUUUAUACUAUAAGUUUUUAUUUGAUUAAGUUUUGUAAAAGGUCGAUGUGGAAUUGAAAAUUUUAGAAAAAUGAGAAGAAAAAAGUGUGUAAAUUAGAUGGAUGAUAUGACAGAGGGAUUGGUUGUGCCACAUUGGUUGUUAAUUGUAUAUAGACAACUUAUGUGUGUAUUUUAGUUGUUCAAUAUUCUUGAAUUUUUUGGCUUUAAUGAAAUUUAAUAUACACAAUUAGGUUAGGUUGUUUUUUUUUUUUUGUACAGGAAUUGAAGAGAUCAAUGUCAACUGAAUCGAAUGAAUGAUGAAGAGCUAAUGUUGGGCUACAAAGCCUACAAUGUUGAUUAGUCUUACUUCCUUGUUCGUUUGGGAUUCUAGUGACAUUAUAGAGAUAAGCUUUUACUUUUUAUGCAUAAGAGGAAUAGUUUCUGCAUCUGACAUGGUUAUUCGUUUGGGAUUCUAGUGACAUUAUUCUGGUUUGUAUCUUCAAUUUAGUAGAUUGUUAGUUAUGCUUUCUUUGUUCAAUUUAAUUAUGUUUUAUUUCGAUAGCAUGAGUAGCAAAUUUAUUAAUUCAGUGAGUAUAAUGAAACACUAGUCUAAAAUCUGUGACCUAAUUGUUUUAUUGAUUGAUACAAUUGGAUGAAUUAUUUACAUCUCAAUCAGAAGAAGCUUUUAGUUUAAGCAGGGAUAUUCGUGCUUAUAAUAGAAUAUUGUCAUUUACUUCGUUCAGUGUAAAAUUGGAUAAAGAACUCGCAUCUGUAAGACGAAGAGUUUAUUCUUUACAAGCACAAGGAAUGGUUUAUCAUGAUCUUCCUGAAUUGAUCCACAAUAUACAUGUAUUUUCAAUAAUACUUUUACGACACACAAAGUGAGGUUGAGGACCGAAUUAACAUAAGAUGCACGUAGAAAUUUUAGAGUUCAACAUGUAUGAAAAAUUCUUACAAAUUAAUUUAUGUAAGAAUUUACUGGUGUUUUUGAUAAAAUUAUUUGAAUUUGAAUAAAUUUCCUCGUUACCAAGAGCUUAUUAUUAUUAUUAUUAUUAUUAUUAUUAUUAUUAUUAUUAUUAUUCAAAAUAACUCGAAUUCAAAUUGCAACAAUUGCUCUAUUUUAAGGGGGCAGUUGCGUAGAGCUUGGUUUUAGAUUGCAAAGUGUGAAUUACCCUUUAUUAUAUCUUAUUCAAAGACACAAAAAGGGGGAUUUAAAGUCUCCCAAAUCUAUUAUAAAAAUAGAGAAUAUAUUCUACUUUUGCAUGUUAUUCUACCACUUCAAAUAAACAAACAGGUUUUGUUGUUUAUUCAACUGACGUAGCCCUCUGAUCACGGCCAAAACUUAUAAUGCUAUUUUAAUAUGAAUAUUAGGGUCAUUUUUUAAGAUUUGGGUUAGACUCAAUCUCCCAAAUCGAACAGAAAGUAGCUUUCCAUAUAAAUAGUCUUAGUUGCUUUUGCCUCCAAAAAUCACUCUUUAUAGUUCCACAAUUAUUUUCUUCGUCUUUCCAAUGGGAAAAAUAUUAUUUUAGCUUUGAAUAAAAGGAAACUCUGCAUUUCCUACUUUCAUCANAACAGGCUCGAGCUCGAUUCGUUUAAAUAUUCAGGUGUCUGAACGUGAUUCGAACUUUUAUCUUGUUAAUCGAGUUUAGCUCGUUACUCACUUACCGAGCUCAAGCUCAGUUCGAAUUCAGCUCAUGUGAUACUCAAUAAUAUCGAAUUCGAGCUUAAGCUCGAGCUCGAACUCGAUGUGUUUAAAGUUUGUGUACUAACUCAAUUGAAGGUUCGUGAAUAAACUCGCAAAUAUAUUCGUGAUUAAUCGCAUUUGAAUAUGUUCGCAAGCUAAACGAGCCGAGUGCUGCCAAGUUUGAGCUCGGUUCAAAAAAAUUAUCGAGCUCAAAAUCAAGCUCAAACUUGUUUACUAUCAAACCGAUCAAGUUUGGGAUCAUAUUCAGCAAUGGCUCAACAUCAAAACGGCAAAGCCACAAGGUCUCUUUCAACAUUUUUUGUCUUUUACUUAUGGUGGCAAAGGUAAGAAAAUCAGAAAAUUUUUGAAAGCUUUAUUGGUUGGAACAAUUUGGCUGCUGUGGAGUUAUAGAAAUGAAAGUAGGUUUGAAGGAAAGGAGUGGGAUCCACAAAAACUUGUGUUGGAGGUUAAAGGUAGACUUUGGAGCUGGAACAAGACUUUCCAAAUGGUGGAAGUGAAUGUUCCGUUUUCUUUGUGGUGCUCCCAAGAGUACACACUCCCCUUUUUGUAACUGUUUUGGUACUACUGAUACCGAGUUUUUCAAUAUAUUGCACUUUUAUUGAUAAAAAAAAAAAAGUUGAGUCUCGAAUAGAUCGCGGGUAGCUCUAUUUAUUUAUAAUCCUAACCGUUGGUGUUAAUGUUUGACGGUGAUACAUAUAUGCACGAAAGGACCAAGAAAAUAUUGGCCGGCGACUGACUUAUCUCACUCCCCACCUAAUUCGGCUUCCACGCGGCCUUCAAUCAACUCAAAUUACUACUUAGUAGUGCCACCCACCUUUCCCUUGACCUUCUCACGCAAAUCUAUACUAAUAGAAAAAGAGCCUAAGCAUUUUAUGGGACAACUUGUGGAUUGCCUAUUUUACCCCUAUUAUUUAUUUUGUAUUAUAUAUUUAUAAAAUCAAUCUAUUUGAUAUAUAUUUAUUUGUCACCCAAAUCUAUAAAUAAUAUUUUAUAUUAUAAAACCAAACAUAUACAUAAAAUCGUUGUCAAAUUAAUUAGAUAAAAAAUUUCUUCUCUACUUAGGUCCAAUAUUGAUGUUUCCCUCAUCUAAUCUAAUUAUAAUUUCUAAAUAAAUCCCUAAUAUAAUUGGUAUUUACAUCACAAUUCUUUUUUCCCUAAAAGAAGUUCAUCAAUUAAACCAACGAUCAAGGGGAUUCCAAUAUCUUAUCGCAUUAGAAUUCUAUUUAAUUUAUUACAUAUUUUAUUUUAAGGUUUUUUACAGAUUAUAUAUUUAUAAGAAUAUAUUAUUAUUAAUAUACACUAAAUCUAUGUGUAUAUAUCUAUAGCUAUUGAUAAGGCUUAUAAAUAAAUAUAUUCAAUCCAAUAAAAUUUAUUAAUGAAAGUAAUAAAUUAAUAAUUUUCUAAAAUAAUAGAUUAUUAAAUAAAAUAACAUUAAUUACACGUACAACGUACGUUCUUUCUGCUAGUUACUCAAAAUGACUCGAAUAUUCAAAUUGCAACAAUUGCUCUAUUUUCAGGGGGCAAUUGCGUAGAGCUUGGUUUUAGAUUGCGAAGUGUGAAUUACCCUUUAUUAUAUCUUAUUCAAAGAUCACAAAAAGGGGGAUUUAAAGUCUCCCAAAUCUAUUAUAAAAAUAGAGAAUAUCUUCUACUUUUGCAUGUUAUUCUACCACUUCAAAUAAACAAACAGGUUUUGUUGUUUAUUCAACUGACGUAGCCCUCUGAUCACGGCCAAAACUUAUAAUGCUAUUUUAAUAUGAAUAUUAGGGUCAUUUUUUAAGAUUUGAGUUAGACUCAAUAUCCCAAAUCGAACAGAAAGUAGCUUUCCAUAUAAAUAGUCUUAGUUGCUUUUGCCUCCAAAAAUCACUCUUUAUAGUUCCACAAUUAUUUUCUUCGUCUUUUCCUCAUUCACACUCCAAUUAAUUAUUUUCUCCGGCUUCGUCGCUCCAAUGGGAAAAUAUUAUUUUAGCUUUGAAUAAAAGGAAACUCUGCAUUUCCUACUUCAUCAUUAAUCCUUCCCAUUUGCCCAUCAUAUCCACACACACUCUAUAUAUACAUGUAUAUGGAUUUCAUAGUUCAAUAUUCUAAAAAAUUACUACUGUCAAAAUCAAGCCAAAAAAUGCCAAAAUCUCCCCAUUUUCUCAUCCUUGCACUACUCUUACCAAUCCAUUAUUUGAUGGAUUAUAGCUCAGCCAAAACCGAUAUCAACACCGAUCGUUCUUCACUUCUUGCCUUGAAAUCUCAAAUCACUUUAGAUCCUCAAAAUAUAUUGACCCAAAAUUGGAGCACUGAAGCCAGUGUUUGUAGUUGGAUAGGAGUUACUUGUGAUUCACACUACAAUAGGGUGACUAACUUGAAUAUAUCGCACAUGGGUCUUGUCGGAACCCUCCCACCAGAAAUCGGGAAUCUUUCUUUCCUCGUCUCUUUAAAUGCGAGUCAUAACUCUUUUCAUGGCCCCAUUCCCCCAUCUAUCUUCAACAUGUCAUUUCUAGAAGUUUUGGAACUAAAGAAUAAUAGUUUGUCUAGUAGUUUACCUCUUGAUAUGUGCAUACACAAUCUGCAUAGACUCAAGAGGCUUCGUAUAUCUUACAACGUGUUGUAUGGGGAAAUACCAUCGAGUUUGGGGCAGUGUUCACAGCUUGAGUAUCUUUCUUUGUACAACAACAAUUUCACUGGAUUUGUGCCGAGAGAAAUUGGGAACUUGACCAAGCUUCAAGAGUUGUACCUUGGUGAAAAUAAGUUGACUGGUAAGUUCAUUCCUAUAUUUAUGAGGUCAAAUCAUGCAUUUAAUGCCAUAUUAUUUAAUUCUUUAAUUUAUGUGCUUUAUGUUUGAGUGUCAAAUUUAAAAUUUAUCUCAGCUUAAUUGUAUGUAUAAACUCAAUUUGGACCACUAAUCAUUAUACAAUAACGCAUACAAAGUUUUCGAACCUUUAGAAAAUCUUUGAUGAUCUUUCAUUUAAACACAAACCAGUUUAGUGGUAAUAAAUUGCAAGGACCAUCAACAUUUACCAAUGAUUGGACUCUUUUUCAGUCAAUUUAAGUGAUACUAGUAAAUUGCAAGGAGCAUUACCUAAAUCCUUGAUCAAUUGUCAAAGUCAUAUAAUUGUGUCUUUCACAAAUUUAUAAAUGACUUUUCCAUAUAACAUUCAUUAGGACUAGUAAUCUAAAAUACUUUGAAUUAAAUAUACUAUAUUUAUAAAGAAUUCAAUAUAUUCAUUUUAAAUGUUAAGUAGGAUGUGUUAGCGUGUAUUUACAUGACAUUGUUUUAUAUUUAAAGAUUCAUAGGUUAGGGUGAUAAGUAAUAUUUUCCAUAUAAGUUUCAAUCUAGAAUUAAACUAACUUUGUGUGAUGAUUUGAAUAUUUGUAGGAGUUAUUCCACAAGAGAUACAUCAUCUUCAUAAUUUAAGAGUGUUGGACUUGAGUUUGAACAAGUUGUCAGGCACUUUGCCACCAACCAUUUUCAACAUGUCUUCCUUGGUAUGGAUUGACUUAUCAAGUAACACACUUAGCGGGGCAUUGCCUUCAAUAAUUGGGAACAAGAAAGCAGUACUAGAGUUUUUAUACCUUGAAAACAAUGCUUUAACCGGUAAGAUUUCUAACUCUUGUAGGGUUUUACACAUAUUCAAAUGUUUCUUAAUUUUCAUGUAUAUUUAGCGUUUACAGCCAUUGUGAGACCUUUAACUUCUUCUCAAAUCUAUAUUUGACUUUUCCAUAUAGCAUUUACAGCUAUGUCCUUCUCAAAUCUAUAUUGUUCUUUGUCUUCCAUUGAUUAGUGGAAUAAAUAUCAUUGUACUUAAAUAGCUCAAAAUUUCCCAUCCGAUCAAAUCAUGUAUUUUUACCUAUUAUUGUUAUGAUCGUUAUACUUAACAAUAUGGAACUUGACUUUGAUGACUUCAUUAUUCUCCAGGUACUAUUCCGAAAGAGAUUGGAAAUCUUCAUAAUUUAUGGUUCAUGUGGUUGGGUUCCAACGAACUUAGCGGAUCAAUCCCGAGAGAAGUGGGGAACAUGACAGCUCUUUCUGACUUACGGCUCGACAAUAAUAGUUUAAGUGGUAUUAGAACUCUUUUAGCGAGUUAAUUUCUUUUUUUGGGGAUUCCCACAAACUUAGUGGAGCUUUAAUUGUACCCACAAAUUUGGAAUAUUAGAACUCUUUGUCGCUCACACCUUUUUAACAUUUAUUUAACUUUUCCGCCAGGUACUAUUCCUAAAGAGAUUGGAAAUCUUCGUAAUUUACACUACUUAAGUUUGUCUUGACUAUUUAUGGCUCCACAAUAAUACUUUAAGUGGUAUGAUUUAUUAUUUAGCUAGCCACAAGUUUAGGUAAAAGAUAAUAUUGUUUGUUAAAUUAAAUAGAUGCAAAGUAAAAGAUAUUUGAUAGGUUUUGGAGAGCUUUUAUUCAGGUAAUUAAAAGAUAGUAAUAGAUUGUUUUAUUACUUCGCAAAUUCAUUUCUAAAGAAAAUUAUUUUCACCUUUAAGAGUCUCGUUUCUUUUCCAACAUUCGACACAAAAGUAUUUUUCCUUUCUUAUUUUCACUUCAAUGAUGGAUAAUAUUAGAAGGAUAAUAUUAUCCAUCAUUGAAGUGAAAAUAAGAAAGGAAAAAUACUUUUGUGUCAAAUGUUAGAAAAGAAAUGAGACAUUUGAAAGCAUAAAUUUUUGUUUCUUUUCAAUUGGAACCAUCUUCAGCACUCGUCUCUUUAUCCUAAAAGAUGGAAGCACUAAAUCUUUUAUUCCUUGGAAACAAUGACUUUGACUCUAGGACGCAAACAUUAAAAGGUUCAUAAAUUAGGGUGAUAAGUAAUAUUUUCCCUAUACGUCUCAAUCUAGAAUUAGACUAACUCUUUGUGAUGAUUUGGAUAUUUGUAGGAGUUAUUCCACAAGAGAUACAUCAUCUUCAUAAUUUAACAGUGUUGGACUUGAGUUCGAACAAGUUGUCAGGCACUUUGCCACCAACCAUUUUCAACAUGUCUUCCUUGACAUGGAUUGACUUAUCAAGUAACACACUUAGCGGGGCAUUGCCUUCAGAAAUUGGGAACAAGAAAGCAGUACUAGAGUUUUUAUACCUUCAAAACAAUGCUUUAACCGGUAAGAUUUCUAACUCUUGUAGAGUUUUACACAUAUUCAAAUGUUUCUUAAUUUUCAUGUAUAUUUAGCAUUUACAGCCAUUGUGAGACCUUUAACUUCUUCUCAAAUCUAUAUUUGACUUUUCCAUAUAGCAUUUACAGCUAUGUUCUUCUCAAAUCUAUAUUGUUCUUUGUCUUCCAUUGAUUAGUGGAAUAAAUAUCAUUAUACUUAAAUAGUAUACAGCUCAAUCUCCCAACCGAUCGAAUCACGUAUUUUACUUAUUAUUCUCAAUUAUGAUUGUUAUACUUAACAAUAUGGAACUUGACUUUGAUCACUUCAUUAUUCUCCAGGUACUAUUCCAUCCUCCAUCUGUAACUUGACAUCUCUUGGAUUUCUUGUUCUCUCAAAUAACACCUUGGAAGGAACAAUUCCACAAUGCUUUGGAAAUUUGAGCAAAUCUUUGCUCAUUUUUCAUUUAAAUGUGAAUCAGUUUAGUGGUCUCAUUCCAUCAUCAUUUAGCAAGGGAUGUGGCCUUGUGUCCAUCAAUUUGAAUGGUAAUAAAUUGCAAGGACCAUUACCUAAAUCCUUGAUCAAUUGCCAAAGACUACGAGACCUCGACGUCGGAAAUAAUAGAAUACAAGACGAAUUUCCCUUUUGGAUGGAAGUCCUUCCAGACCUUCAAGUGCUGGUCUUGAGGGCUAACAAGUUUUAUGGUAACAUGUCACUUCCUUCGCAAACCAAGAUUCCAUUUCAUAAUUUGCAAGUUUUAGAUAUAUCUCAGAAUAGAUUUGUGGGCUCUCUGCCUCAAGGAUAUUUCAAGAAUUUCAGAGCAAUGAUAGAGGUAAAUGAAACAAACUUGUCAACUAACGACACCUUCUUUAAAGAUUAUGUGGAGAUGAGGCUCACCUUGAAAGGUCUGGAUCAAUUAUUACAGAGAUUGUUGUCAGCCUUUACAACAAUCGACUUAUCCUCCAAUAGAUUUUCUGGGAGUAUUCCACAUUCCAUAGGAAAUCUUAAGAUUCUCAAAUACUUGAAUCUGUCCCACAAUAACCUCAUAGGAAAUAUCCCUUCAUCUCUUGGAAAUUUGAGUGAACUUGAAUCUUUAGACUUGUCGGUGAACAAGUUGGAUGGAGAAAUUCCAAGUGAAUUGACAGGGUUGACAUUUCUUGCGAAAUUAAACCUUUCAAUGAAUAAUUUUGUGGGACAAAUACCACAGUCUAAGCAGUUUUCCACAUUUGAGAAUGAUUCAUACGUGGGAAACUUGAGACUGUGUGGAGUUCCGUUGACGAGAAAAUGCAACGACGAGAAUGGGCAUGAGAUGAAGCCACAAGAAGAUGAUGAUGAAGAAGAUGAGUUUGGAUUUAUAGAUGGAUUUGGAUGGAGAAGUGUGGUGAUGGGAUAUGGAAGUGGAUUCAUAGUUGGAAUUGGAAUUGGUUACAUUAUCAUUAGAAAUGGAAGGCCAAGAUGGUUAGUGGAAUUCUUUUUUGGCAUUGGAUAUAAUAAUAAUAAUAAUAAGAAGAAGAAGAAGAAGAAGAGACGCAGCAGAGCUACACCAACACCACCAACACGCAGGAGAACUUAAUUGAAGGCUUGUGCUCGAAUUGUGUUUUCUUUUUCUUAUUUCCUUUGUAAUGGCUACGUUAGUGUGUUUUUAGAGUUUACGAAAUGUUGUUGUUUGUUCAAAUAUGUGAAGUUUUAAUUUUAUCUCGUUUAGGUAAUUUUUUGGAUAAACUAAAACAGUUUUGUGAUUUUAUUUGUUAAAUAUUUAGAUUAUUAAAAAUGUCAUCCUCUUAGUGACAUAGAACUGCUUGCUGGAUUUCUUCGAGCAAAAAUACUACACAUGAAUCUAGUUGGAACAGAUUCUGUUAAGCCUAUGAACAGAUCCUCAAAAUCAUCAAAUUGAUUUGGAGAAAUGAUCGUUUGUUUACUUAUAAAUCGUUGGUUUGUAUUGGCUGCUUAAUUUAUAAAUAAUGUUUUAUACAAUUUUUUUGGCUCUUGUUUUAUUAAUUAACUAAUUUAAUUUAAUAAUCUACAAAAUAUCUUACUUCUUAUUCUAUAUAAAAAUAGAAAAAAAGUGUAAUUAAAUAAAAAAAAUAGUCAUAGAAAGGUGUAGUGAAUUUAAUUUUAUACAGCCAAUGAAAAUAGACUACAACGUAAAUAUGCAACACAAAUGAUGUUGAGAGCAUAUUGCAGGAGUCUCUUGUUGAAUUAAGUAAUCAAAUAGUAAUAAAAUAAUAAUUACUCAAAAUAGAAAACACAACUUAUACAGAAGGGUUGCUAUAUCAUGUGACAUUUUAUCGAACAGUUGGAGCACUUAUCUGCAUACAAGAUUCUGCUGGGCAUUUUCUCGAACAGUUGGAGCGCCUCUUUGUUGGCCGAUAUGAACUAGAUUCUCACGUCCCCGCUUAGAGGUUAUAAAUUGAUACUCCCUCUGUCUUAGCUUUUAAUAUCUAUAUUUUCAUUUUAGUCCGUCAUUUUUUUUUAUUCAUUUCUAUUUUUGGUAAAAGUAUGUGACACCCUUACUCCACUUUAAUUACUUUAACACUCGCAUAAAAGGUAAGACCUUUAUUCCACUCGUAACACACUUAACCUCUUUAUUAAAACUUGUGUCACUUUCAAAUGGAUACUAAAAAUUGGGAAGGAGAGACUAUAUUUUUAUCAUCUUUAAGCAAAAGUCAAAUUGAGUUUGAACACGAAUUAUUUAACUAUGUUAACAUUUAUUGAAACAAGAAAAAUUAAUUAUUCACAUAUCCGAGCAUAUUACACAUUUUUUAAGUGUAAUUUAUCAAUCAUGUUAUAUGUAAUUCGCAUGCUAUUACAAAUGAUUCAAUGAAUAUAGAUAGAAAUGAAUAUAGAUAGAUAAAUCAUAAAUUUAUCCAGUAUAUACACCGAAAAUAGCGCCAACAUGUUUUCAUGAGCAUAAAAAAUAAAAAGAUAAUUAUGAAAUUCACACAUUGUCAUGUAAAUAUAUGAUAUAAGCACUGAAUGUAGUAUCCAAUCCUCGAUCUCAAUUCAAUAUGUCAUGUUUUCUUAUUUGUACGUUCCAUUUCAAUAAAUUAUUUCUUAAAAUGAAAUAUCAAUACAUUACAAACACAUUCACCUUUACACCAAGUAACAUUAUAUUAUAUCCCACAAAUAAGUACCCCUUCCGUCCCAAUAGUAGUCAGUGGCGGAUCCAGGGGGGGCUUCAGCCCCCUCCCAAUUUUUGAGUUUUUUUUUUUUAUUAUAGAUAUAUAUAUUUAUUAUUUUGUUUUAUAUCUAUAUAUAUGUGUAUAUAAAUAAAAAAUACAAGAAAAAAUAUAGUAAUACAUUAUUUAUAGUAUCCAACUAUCCAUAUUAAUUGCUCAACACAUUGAGUUGUUACAUUUAUAGUAUUAUUUUUAUCAUUUUUUCUUUCUUAGUUAAUUUUUAAUGUUAAAUUUGAGUCAAUUCUAAAGGUAAAAGUAAAAUUACUAAUUACUAACAAUGAAAAUUACUCCCUCCGUCCCUGAAAUGGCUUCCUCUUUGGGGACGGCACGGGUUUUAAUAAAAAGUUGUAAAGUGUAUUGAUAGUGAAGAAAAAGUGAUAUAAUUAUUAUUGGAAGUUGUGAAAAGUGUUAUACUCCCUCCGUCCCGCUAAAGUUGGCAACAUUCGUUUCGGCACGGAGAUUAAGAAAUUGAGUGUUAUAUGUUUUAAUAAAGUGUGGUCUACAAUUGUUGACCAAAUUAGUGAGUAAUUGUUGACUUAAUUAAAGUAAUUUUGACAUUUUUAGAAAGUGGCCUACAAUUGUUGACCAAAUUAGUGAGUAAUUGUUGACUUAAUUAAAGUAAACUUUUGCCAUUUUUAGAAAGUGGCCAACUUUAGUGGGACACCCAAAAUAGAAAUGUUGCCAACUUUAAUGGGACGGAGGGAGUAAUUAGUAUUGAGAGUGGUGAAAAGUGAAAAGUAAGAAUAAAUAAAGUAUUAUUAGUGGUGGGGUAGGUUUCCAAAAAUGGAAAAAAAGAAAGAGGAAGUUAUUUGGGGGACGUCCCAAAAUGGAAAAAGAGGAAGUUAUUUUAGGGACGGAGGGAGUAGUUUAUUUGUUUAGAAGAUGAAACAAUUUUUUUUUAAGAAAAAUGAAUAAAAGUACGUUUUUAUAUGCUUUCAAUCUACUUGAUGUUGAAUUAAUUGAAUUGCGAACAAUUAUCUUAUUAUAUUAAGUGAUUGUUGAAAAAAUGUAUGAAAAUGAAGUGUACGGAAUGCUCAAAAAAAUUUACUUCGGGGGCUCCCGCCCCCGAACCCCCGUGUAAAUAUUUUCAAGCACCGUAGUCCAAUAGAUUCAGCCCCCCCCCCUAACAUUGAAUCCUGGAUCCGCCCCUGAUAGUAGUGUCCCACUUCACCUUUCCACUUUCUUUUUUGGCAAUAUAGUCUAUCUCUAUAUUAUUUAAAUAAUUUUCAUCAAUCCACUUUAUCUACUUUUUACACAUUCCUUAAUCUAUAUGUCCAAAAGUAACGGGACACUACUAAUGGGACAGAGGGAGUAGUAUUUUUAUAUAUUUCUAAAUUCUUUGAUAAAUACAUCUUUAAAAAAAUUAUUAUAAGCUAUUUAUUUUUAAUAUUUUAAUUUGUAAACUCAAUUUUCUCUCUUUUAGUUCAUUAUAAACUAUUUAUUUUUUAAUAUCUGUAUUCAUAUUGAAGUGUUGCAUGACAUUUCUUAAACUCGUGCCACAUUUUGGUUCAUAUUUCUAUUUUUAGUAAAAGUAGGUGAGACUAUUGCUAAAUGAUAAACAUGCAUUUUUACCUCUUGGAGUGUCAUUUUUGAUGCUAAGUUGUGAGGAUUUUGUGUGUUUGAUGGUCUAUUUGAGCUUAUAUUCGUUUAUGGUCAAGAACUUGUUACUUGCUUGUGUUUGAACGAAUUUUCAGAAAUAAUGAAGCAGAAUAUGGAAGAAUUGGCUGAAAUACAAGUUGUAGUUCGUCUCGAUAGGAGUUCGUGAGCGCAAACGGAUCAUAAAUCGGAGUUCGGACGAGAAAGAACGAGCCAAAACAAAAUCGUUGCGCAAAGCUAUCAGGAGUUCUGUUUCGUCGCGCGGUCCAGGCUCGCGGCCGCGCGACGUGGCCGCGCGAGUCUCCGUAUUUCCGCCCAAAAUUCGUUUUUUUGCCAUUUUGGGUAUUUUUGAGAGCUACAAGACCUAGGGCAUAUAAAUACUCCCCAAGAACUUAUUCUCUGCACAUUUUAUCAUCUUUUAUCAUAUUUUACUUUUCCUGAGAGCUGAGAGAGACGGAGAACGGAGCAAGAGCAAGAUUGAAGAUUCUCAACUAUACUACGGUUUUAUUGUUGAAUGAUUAUUUGUAUUUUUGAGAAUUGUAUUCUAGUUCAUAUGUCUAUGUGUGGCUAGAAUCCCUUUUUCCCAGGGUUUAGGGAGUAGACAUGAUUUGAAUUUCUGACUGUUUGAUUCGAUUAAUUGAGAUUGUUAUUCCUUUUUAUGUUCUUGUUAUAAUUGUUUGCUUUAUUGAUUGGCCACCAAUUUAGCAUAAUCAUAGGUUUUAAUUUGAGAUCGGGAGAUGAUAAUUAUUACCUGAACUAAGAACAUAGAACACAUAUAUUUAAUUCUAAAGGGAAUUGAUAUUUGUGAGGGCGUUAAUCCUAUGAGCUUUUAGGAGUUGCAUGUUAGAAGUGCGAUCCGGGGACGGUAGCCUUGCAUGUAAUCAACGGUUUGUAUGCCACGGGAGUGGGUAUAGACUAGUUUUGAGAUUGCCUUAGGAAUCAUCUUAUUAUUUGAAUUGAACAUGUUAGUUAGGAGAAUCUGUUGAAACUUUUGCCUUGGGAAAUCUUCUCUUAUCUGUUUCUCUGUUUCACAGCUUGCUUUAUUUUCUUUCUUGCUGUUUAUUUAUUUUGUUCUUUACUACAAAAACUCUCAUUUUCGUUUGUCCAGAUAGAGUAGAAUAAUUUAGGAUAGGCAUUGAUAAUAAUUAGUCUCUGUGGAAUACGACCUUGCUUGCUACUGUACACAAUUGCAUCCGUACACUUGCGGCGUGUUAAUAAAAUAGCGAACACUAAACUUUAAUUAUUUUAACACUUAGGACAUUUAUUCUACUCACAACACCCAAUCACUUUAUUAAAAUUCGUGUUACUCUCAAAUAGAUACUAAAAGUUGGAACGAAAAGAGUACUAAAUUUAUAGUAAAAAUUUGUGUAUUUCGAUCCACAUGGUAUCUCAUAGUCAAACUAAUUGCAUAAAGACAAAUUUAUUGCGGCUUUAGUUUAAAAUUCCGAAAUUCUACACAAAAUUGUUUAAUAAUUUUUCCAAAAUUCACUAUGAAUAAGGGUUUAUUAAAUUCUUUAUUUUAAUAAUAAUAAUAAUAAUAAUAAUAAUAAUAAUAAUAAUAAUAAUAUGAUACGAUCCGUAUCAAUGGUGAAGCUUUUCGAGCAAGCUCAAACUCCAGAAAUCAAGAGAGAAGAAAGAAGUUUGAUAACUAACAACCAAAAUAUUCAUUCAUACUCAAUAAACUUGGAGAUUACAUCAUUUAUACCUAAUAAUAAAAACCUAAUGGGCUAAUGGGCUAGAACAUAAUAGGGCCAAGCUAGGGGAUGGGCUGGGUGUAUCAUUCCCCACUCCUUCACAAUCACCUUGUCCUCAAGGUGAAGUUGUAAAGAAAAAAAUGGCUAUGGGAGAUGAUUUGGCCCGUUAAUUGCAAAAACAAAACUAAAUAGAGCCAAAAUACACUGCUCGACUCAUGCUUGAUAAAAGCUCCGACUGAAAAUCAACUAAGAAGCUUGAUAAAACUACGACCAACAUGUGCUCGACAAAAGUCUCAGCUGAAAACCUGCAGAAAAUUAAUCCGAGCAAACUCAAAACUGAUGCACAUCAGCUGGGCGUGCCCACGAGAUCCGGGCGGCGGUUCGCCACAUAGCUGGACUUCUUGAUCAAGUCCACGAUCCUUCUCCUUGACGUCGACGGCGUGAUGUGGCGCGGUUAAUAGCAGAGACAAGCCUUGAGGCCGUGGAAGAACCCCAAUUUUUUGAUCUCGGAGGAAGCGAGCACUUGGGCUGUGGGCAGCCACAAUCAAAGCUUUAGGGCCACUCAUAUUGGGCCCAAAUAUAUUGAUUGGGUUGGGCUCUUCAUUCUUAGACUUGGGCCCAAUAGAAAUCUCAAACAACCAAUUCAAUGGGUAAUGAUAAACCCUCGCCCGCUGUAGAAUAAUUGAGAUUGUCGGCAACGUCGGCGGCGGGGGUACACCCUCAAUAAUCUCAUCGUCAACUGCCGAAAUAGGAUUGCUCGGUGGAUCAAGGUCAUCUUCUCCAUAACCCAGAAGGAGUAUUUUUUUGUUGCGGCAGCGGUGGGUCGGAGACGGUGGUGACUGACUAGGUGGGGUGGGCGUUGGUGGGGGAUUUCUCGAAGGAGUUAUUGGUGGCGGUGGUUGUGGUGGCGGCGGCGAUGGUGGUGGUGUUGCAGGGGAAGACGGUACGUUUGGGGGUGGCUCGGUGGGAGGAGGUGGUAUGGGGCAGUGGGGAUGUUGACGGCGGCGGAGGCUGGAGAUCUAUCUGUGAUAGCGGAGAUGGUGGUUCGAGUCCUGUGAAAGGAUGGGGCGAUGAGAAUGGCUGUGCAGAGGCGCAAAUGCUUGAGAUAUCCUUCACUUUAACUUCAACUCCACCCAUGGAAUAAGGAGACUUGGGAUCUCCAAAGUCAUCCUCAUCAUCGGUGCCUAAAAGAAUCAAAUAUUUGCUGCGGCAUCGGUGGGUAUCGGACCAAGUUUGGUCACAAUUGUAACACAACCCGAGGUCGUUUUUAGCUUCGAUUUCAGAUCGGCUUAGACGGCGAAUGGGAAGAUGUGAUGUGGAGUGAGUUGUAUGUAAGAUUGGGGGAAACGAUGGUGGUGGAUAGGGAGCUGGAGUAAUGGGUGGUGGGGAAGGUGAUGGUGGUGGCGGAGAGUGGACUGGUGGCGGCGGAGACUGGGUGGGUGGCGGCGGGGAGUGGACUGGUGGUGGUGGGGAGUGGACGGGUGGCGGAGGAGAGUGCACUGGUGGAGGAGGGGAGUGGACGGGUGGCGGCGGAGAGUGCACUGGCGGGGGAGGGGAGUACACCGGUGGUGGAGGGGAGUGAACGGGUGGUGGGAAAGGAGAUGAAAACAGGGAGGAAUUUGGAGCCGCCUGAAAAUAGGCAUCGAAGGAGGUUGGCCAACUGUAGAUGGCGGUGUGAAGCUCUUCAAUGGCGGCACAGAUUUCAGAUCUUGACAUCUUUUUUUUUUUUUUUUGGAUAUUCAAAGAGAGAUACUCUCAAUGAAAGCACCAAUUGAUACGAUCCGUAUCAAUGGUGAAGCUUUUCGAGCAAGCUCAAACUCCAGAAAUCAAGAGAGAAGAAAGAAGUUUGAUAACUAACAACCAAAAUAUUCAUUCAUACUCAAUAAACUUGGAGAUUACAUCAUUUAUACCUAAUAAUAAAAACCUAAUGGGCUAAUGGGCUAGAACAUAAUAGGGCCAAGCUAGGGGAUGGGCUGGGUGUAUCAUAAUAAUAAUGGCAUACUCAAAAAUUAGAUUCAGCAAUUGUACUUGGCACCUAAUCCGAUCAGUUCUUUGCCCCAAAUUGUAGCAAGUGGGCCCCGCAACUUAACGCGCUAUAUAUACGCACCAAAGAUUUCAGCGUCGAAUUAGAAAAAAAGAAAAUCUAAAAAGGUUCGUUACUGUCGUAGCUGCCUGUCUCUCUACGAGCUUCUGCUUUCUCUCUCUACCUCCUUUUUCUUCUCUUUCACACUCUUUCUCUCUCUUCGAUCUCCCCCGAUCGAUGAAUGCAGGUUAGCUUCUCUGCUUAGCUCGUACCUCUCUGCUUGAAUUGUUCCGGAAGCUAUGUAAUUCUGUUUGAUUUGGGGGUAGCGGAGAAUUUUGAAUAAACCCUAAUUUCUCACUUUGCUCAAUUAUGGCUUUUGAGCUUGUGAAUGGGAGGUUGAAGUGUUUUGAUGUGUGGUUUAUGUAUUAAUUCACUCUUUGGUGUGGUAUUUGUUUGCUAAUUUUGAUAGUUUACCGUUAAAUACUCAUUCUUCUUGGAGUUCUUAGGUAUUAGUGGUUAGUAAUGUGUUUGAUUGGUCUCUUUUCUUUAUUAUAUGGCUUUUGGUAACUUAAUUGGGUUAAUCGUUGUUGAAAUUACUUAACUUUUUGUUUAUCACUGAAGAAGAAGAUUGCAUUUUGCAUUCUUGUGUAGCGAACUGUUGGAUUUUGUUUUGUGUAAUUAGUUAACUGUAUAUACCUGUGAUUUAUGAAGUCUCUAGAAUGCUUUUCAGUGGUUGAAUAUCUUGCAUUUCUGCUGUUUAUAAGAAGAUUGCAUUUUGCAGUGUUCUGUAGCUAAUAGCGAACUGUUGGAACUCUGUUUUGUGUAAUCAGUUAACUAAGUAGAAGUUUUAGAAGGCUGUCUAGUGGUUGAAUAUCUUUUGUUCUGCAAUUUUUGAUGAAAUUGUUUUUAUUGUCUUUUUAAGUCUUAUUACUUCUCUCUGAGUUUCGUCACUGUGGCUGGUGGAUUACAUUAGUCCGCGCAUUCGUGCUCUUUUUUUGUUGAUUAUUGCAUCAUAGUGUGAUUUGGUUUUUGCUGGUGCUCUUGAUGACUUUUUUAUUUGGUUUGAUGACUUGAGAUGCCCAUUCGACCCUCCACUGCAUCUUCAACUUCAAUUACCUGAAAUAUUUGUAAAGUAUGGGAUGAGCAUGCACAGUAUACUCAGUGUGGGAUAUCAUGCAAUAAUUGUCCAAGUUAAUAAAACGAUAACACAUACGAUAUUAACAUUUAUAACAUUUACUCGCACGGUGGCAUACCAAGGACCUUUCCGUCCUGGACCUAUUCAACGGGCCCCUGGCUAUUAUGGUUGCAACCUUAACUUUUACAUUUAAAUCGUAUUGUGGCAUACCAAAGACCUUUCCGGCCUGGACCCAUUCAACGGGCCCCUAACGAUAUAUAAUUUAACUCGUAUACGGUAAACACAUAAUAUUAAAAUGACCACAACAUGUAUUAAAAUAAAAUCUCACACUGAAAAUUUUGUACUUGAUUAAUAACUUGAGUAAUUCACAUCAACAGUUACGUUCUAGUCACGCCGUACCUAGUCAGAUAAAUUCAGAUAAUAGAUGUAAUCAAGCUUUUUUUUUAAGAUAAUUUAAAUAAUUUUAAGAAUUGUUCUAUAGCACUAACCCAAAGUCAUGAGCCUAAUAAAUAAAUAAAAUACUAAAAUAUGUAUACUUUCUUGUGGAACUUAGCUCAAAAUUUUUAACUAAUAAAGCAUGUUUCAAUACUUAAAUAUAUAAAAGUAGAUUUGAGCCCAUUUAUGCCAAAAAUCAAGUUCACUAUUUAAAGUCCAAGAAAAGAAAGUGUUCAGCCCAAUUAUAGAAGCCCAUAUUAAAUAUCCCUAAGCCCAAAACUCAUUUCAAUUUAGUAGAUUGUUAGUUAUGCUUUCUUUGUUCAAUUUAAUUAUGUUUUAUUUCGAUAACAUAGCAAAUUUAUUAAUUCAGUGAGUAUAAUGAAACACUAGUCUAAAAUAUGUGACCUAAUUGUUUUAUUGAUUGAUACAAUUGGAUGAAUUAUUUACAUCUCAAUGAGAAGAAGCUUUUAGUUUAAGAAGGGAUAUUCGUGCUUAUAAUAGAAUAUUGUCAUUUACUUCGUUCAGUGUAAAAUUGGAUAAAGAACUCGCAUCUGUAAGACGAAGAGUUUAUUCUUUAAUAUAUGAUCUUCCUGAAUUGAUCCCACAAUAUACAUGUAUUUUCAACUAUACUUUUAUGACGCACAAAGUGAGGUUGAGAACUGAAUUAACAUAAGAUGCACGUUUUAGAGUUCAACCCGUAUGAAAAAUUCUUACAAAUUAAUUUAUGUAAGAAUUUACCGGUGUUUUUGAUAAAAUUAUGUUAAUUAAUUUACUGGUGUUUCUGAUAAAAUUAUUUAAAUUUGAAUAAAUUUCCUCAUUACCAAGAGCUUAUUAUUAUUAUUAUUAUUAUUAUUAUUAUUAUUAUUAUUAUUAUUAUUAUUAUCUAUAUACUAAUAGAAAAGAGCCUAAGCAUUCUAUGGGACAACUUGCGGAUUGUCUAUUUUACCCCUAUUAUUUAUUUUGUAUUAUAUAUUUAUAAAAUAAAUCUAUUUGAUAUAUAUUUAUUUGCCACCCAAAUUUAUAAAUAAUAUUUUAUAUUAUAAAACCAAAUAUAUACAUAAAACCGUUGUCAAAUUAAUUAGAUCAAAAAUUUCUUCUCUACUUAGGUCCAAUAUUUGUUUCCCUCAUCUAAUCUAAUUUCUAAAUAAAUCCCUAAUAUAAUUGGUAAUUAUACAUCACAAUUCGUUUUUCCCUAAAAGAAGUUCAUUUAAACCAACGAUCAAGGAGAUUCCAAAAUCUUAUCGCAUUAGAAUUCUAUUUAAUUUAUUACAUAUUUUAUUUUAAGGUUUUUUUACAGUAUUAUAUAUUUAUAAGAAUAUAUUAUUCAUUAGAUAGUACACUAAAUCUAUGUGAUAUAUAUCUAUAGCUAUUGAUAAGGCUAUAAAUAAAUAUAUUCAUCCAAUAAAUUAUGUAAUGAAAGUAAUAAAUUAAUAGAUUUUCUAAAAUAAUAGAUUAUUAAAUAAAAUAACAUUAAUUACACGUACAACGUACGUUCUUUCUGCUAGUUACUCAAAAUGACUCGAAUAUUCAAAUUGCAACAAUUGCUCUAUUUCAGGGGGCAAUUGCGUAGAGCUUGGUUUUAGAUUGCGAAGUGUGAAUUACCCUUUAUUAUAUCUUAUUCAAAGAUCACAAAAAGGGGGAUUUAAAGUCUCCCAAAUCUAUUAUAAAAAUAGAGAAUAUCUUCUACUUUUGCAUGUUAUUCUACCACUUCAAAUAAACAAACAGGUUUUGUUGUUUAUUCAACUGACGUAGCCCUCUGAUCACGGCCAAAACUUAUAAUGCUAUUUAAUAUGAAUAUUAGGGUCAUUUUUUAAGAUUUGGGUUAGACUCAAUCUCCCAAAUCGAACAGAAAGUAGCUUUCCAUAUAAAUAGUCUUAGUUGCUUUUGCCUCCAAAAAUCACUCUUUAUAGUUCCACAAUUAUUUUCUUCGUCUUUUCCUCAUUCACACUCCAAUUAAUUAUUUUCUCCGUCUUCGUCGCUCCAAUGGGAAAAUAUUAUUUUAGCUUUGAAUAAAAGGAAACUCUGCAUUUCCUACUUUCAUCAUUAAUCCUUCCCAUUUGCCCAUCAUAUCCACACACACUCUAUAUAUACAUGUAUAUGGAUUUCAUAGUUCAAUAUUCUAAAAAAUUACUACUGUCAAAAUCAAGCCAAAAAAUGCAAAAAUCUCCCCAUUUUCUCAUCCUUGCACUACUCUUACCAAUCCAUUAUUUGAUGGAUUAUAGUUCAGCCAAAAACGAUAUCAACACCGAUCGUUCUUCACUUCUCGCCUUAAAAUCCCAAAUCACUUUAGAUCCUCAAAAUAUAUUGACCCAAAAUUGGAGCACUGAAGCCAGUGUUUGCAGUUGGAUCGGAGUUACUUGUGAUUCACGUUACAAUAGGGUUACUCAGUUGAAUAUAUCGUACAUGGGUCUUGUCGGAACCCUCCCACCAGAAAUUGGGAAUCUUUCUUCUCUCGUUUCUUUAGAAGUGAACGAGAACUCCUUUCAUGGCCCCAUUCCCCCAUCUAUCUUCAACAUGUCAUUUCUAGAAGUUUUGGAACUAAGGAAUAAUAGUUUGUCUAGUAGUUUACCUCUUGAUAUGUGCAAACACAAUCUGCAUAGACUCAAGAGGCUUCGUUUGUCUUACAACGAGUUGUAUGGGGAAAUACCAUCGAGUUUGGGGCAGUGUUCACAGCUUGAGUAUCUUUCUUUGGGCAACAACAAUUUCACUGGAUUUGUGCCG
rnacentral:lncRNA from 1 species